rnacentral:lncRNA from 1 species
AUGAUUGAGUUCGUUGCCUUUGGUUGGUUAAAUCUGGGAUGUGGCCCAAUAAUCUCUGGUUCAUUACGUUACUCCCUGCUGCCAUCGUUCACUAGGCAUGGUUAUUGACUUCAGUUUUUUUUUUUGUUUUUAGCUACUUCCGAAAUUCUAUGGACAGCAUUCGUUUAUGAUCUAAAUUGUUGAAGACCAUUUAUUUUCAGGGCAGGACCGUGGGUUACCUUGUGUGUUGGUUACUGGGAAAUGGCUGCCUGUUCAGCUGGAAUAGUCUGAUUACCAUCCAAGAUUAUUUUUUGGUGGUAUUUGACGUAAGUGCUCCCAAAGCUUAAUAUUCACUUCUUUCUGUUUAAUACCAUCUUUCUUCUGCUGCAAUUGGAUUGAUGAAGCUCUUGAAUGCUGUGCUUUUGCGAAUAGAGUGUGUCGAAAGUAGAUUCUGGAAUAUUGAAAUAGAUUGUGCAAGUGGACUCUGUAUGUUGGUAAUCGAGAUGGAUGGAGCCAGAGAACUUGGCAGAAGGGGUACAACCAAUUAACCGUAGAGUAUGAAUACACAACGUUCUUGGCAUGGUACUGAUGUAAGAAAUAUGAGUUUAGACACGGUUGUUGGAAGGGGAGUAAAGAAUUGUGACUUCUUAGCAUGAUCUUAAUGGUCCUCUCUAAGGUUCCGAAUUUAAUUGACUGUGAAUCAUUCAUUAUAUAUGGUUCUAAAUCUGUGACCUGCAUUCAGUGACUGUAUGUACCAAGUUGAUGGUUGUAGAGAAACGGUAGGUCCUCUCUAGUAGGAUCAUGCAUUUGAAUUCUAGUCUUUCGAAGCACUACAAAAUGAAAGGUAGAAUGUUCAUCUCUUCUGCAUGGUAUGGAUGCUGCUGAUUCACACUCACAAACAAGGUUGGGUGGGUGUGUACAGGGUUACCAUGCAGCACGAGUGUUCACUUUGGUUUACCAACCAUUUGCACUUGGAACCAUGCUCAUCCUCACAUACCACGAGGCACGCAUCAAUACACGUUUACGUCUUAUAUCUGGCUACACGCUCUUUUUCAUCUUCAUACUGGCCAUCCCAAUCGUAAGUGUCAACACAAUAUUUGAAGGAUCGCUGUAAUAGCUAAACCCCCACAUGUAGAUUUCAUAAUUGGAUAAUAGCCUGUAAGUAUGGGAGGUGCAGAUUUAAGCGAACUUUCAUCACUGAUCGAGUAGAGGCUAAUCACCACGCUUUGAAUUGAAUGGCUACAGCUGGAUUUAGCCACCAAUGGGCAUGGAGGUAUUGGAGCAUUUGUGGGUACCUGUAUCUUUAUUGCAGGUUUUGGCGUUGCAGAUGCAUUUGUUCAAGGGGGCAUGUUCGGCGAGGUUUCCUUCAUGGAUUCAAGCUAUGUUCAGGUUUAGUCUAAUAUUCAGCAUUCUAAGUACUCUCUUGACUAUCUCUCUUUCAUGUUCUAGAGUUAUAUUUGCCAGGAGGACUUGGAGCCCCAAACUUCAUUUUCGUUCUUUCCAGCUCAAAACCCUUGAAACUAUUUUAGGGUGUACCGUACCUCUGUCUUUGAUAAGGGUUAAUAUUGCUCAGUUGUCGAAUACGUUAUAGUAGAUGUUUAAAAUUAACUGUACCCUCGAGUCAUAUGAAGUCGCACAUAUGUAACGAACAACUGCCGUCUUUGAUGAUAUUUGUAGGCGUUCAGUGCAGGCUUAGCAGCCUCAGGUGCAAUAACCUCGGGUCUUCGCUUGAUUUGCAAGUCCAGCUUCCCAAAUACAAAGGAUGGACUCCGUAAUAGUGCUUGUAAGUAUGUCUCCUCUUGUCGCUUAAGAUAUCGUACAAGACGAAAACUUUCUUGCACUUAGCUAGACAAUUUUUUGUUUUUUGUUUUUUGUUUUGUUUUGUUUUGUUUUGUUUUUUUUUUGUAGAGAGCAUUAAAUAGAAUCGUCAACGCAGACUCCUUAACUUUGAUAAGCUCUAAUUGUGAUAGGAUUCUGCCUCUGGAUUACCAUUGUCAUGUUUAUUUUUUAAUGAACAGCUCUAGAACUACCUAUCAGCUCCCCAGUGUUGCACACGUUGGUCAUAUAUGUCUCAAACUCUCUCCAUCAAGUUCGCUCUAAUGCUGAGGCUCUUGUAUUGCAAUCAGUGGUGUUCUUCUUCAUUUCGGCCUUCUUUGAAUUUACGUGCAUUCUCUUGUACGCCUACGUGUUCCCACGUUUGGCUUUCGUGAAGUACUUCCGAACCAAGGCUGCAUCUGAGGGAUCUCUUACGGUAUCUGCUGAUCUGGUGGCUGUCGGCAGCACUACCUACAGAAAUGAAACAGUAAGCUAAACCUUCAAUUUUUCGAGGCUAAAAUUUCGUGUGCAGUUUGAUUCCACUGUGCAGAGCAAUUUCAUACUAAAUCUACUCCCUUUGUCCAGCUUUCAGAAAAUUGUGACUUUAAACUACGUUCAUGGCAGGACAAUCAACAAGGUAUGAAGGCCUUGAUGCCGCUGGAACGUCUGACAACCUCGCAAUUGCUUGCAAAGAAUGCCGAUUAUUGUUUCAUAAUAUGCUUCUGCUUCACUUUGACACUUUCGAUCUUCCCCGGCUUCCUGGCUGAAGACACAGGGAAACAUCAUUUAGGCACAUGGUAAUGCUUUCCCGCUGCUUAACAACUCUGUAGUGAACUAUAACAUGAACCUUUCACUGUUUUUGAUUACUUUGGAAACGUGAUAUGAAAGUUGACAUGUGAAACGACUUCCACUCGUUUUCAGGUAUUCUGUAACACUAGUAGCAAUGUACAACGUUGGGGAUCUGCUGGGCCGCUACAUCCCAUUGAUUGAUAGCCUUUUGCUGAAAUCACGCCCAAUGCUGCUUCUUGCUACGCUCUCUCGAGUUGUAUUUAUCCCCGCGUUUUAUUUUACAGCCAAGUAUGGGCCGCAAGGGUGGAUGAUCAUUUUGACCACCUUACUGGGAGUUUCGAAUGGUUACGUCACUGUGUGCGCUUUCGUAGGCGCACCAAAAGGUUAUUUGGUACGCAACCUCUUUACCUUUACUCCUGGCUAACAUCACCAAUUCUAUUUGACAUUCAGCGAUCCUAGUGUUCUGCACAUAGUUCGACUAUAUCAUUAAUCGUCGCAUGUGAAGUUUUGGACGAAGCAGCUAUUGAUCUUGAAGGAAUUGAAUCUGAGUUUUGAUGCAGGGACCGGAGCAAAAUGCCUUGGGGAACAUUCUCGUUCUUUUUCUGGUUAUUGGCCUCUUUGUUGGAGUCGUUGUCGACUGGUUGUGGCUGAUCGGAAAGGGUUGGUAGAAGUACAGGUGUUCGAAAACUUGAAUCAGGUCCAUUACCUCAUUCCUUUUGAAUAGGGAGAUAUCGGGUGCAGAGACUGGAUUUGAAGGUCCAUGGUCGUAAUUUAGUAACUUAUGUGUAGAGUGUAGAGACUGAAAACGGUUAGAGAGCAUUGUAAUCCAACGCAAUGACGCCAAAUUAUGCAGUGAAGUUAUGGCAUGCAAUUGUACAGGAUUCGCCAUGGGAAAAAUAACACCACAGUCGAAUUCUUGACUCGUAUCAUUGACCUAGUUGCCAUCACAAAUGAUACGGGGUAGUUUUCGUGUAUUCCUGCCAAGUGCGGCCUUUCAAUAUUUGAAAUUGUGAAGAAAUUGCAAUACAGAUGGAAACUUUGAAAUUCAAGUACAUCAGAAAAACCACGGUGGGUCUAGUUUGUCGACAGGAUCAAUUUUUGGUUUAGGAUGCAUUUAGAGGCCUUUUCCACGAGUAGUGGCUUCUAUACCAUCCGGCAGCAUGCUCUGUCAACCUCUUGUGUCGCACUACCCCACAAACAACAUGAGAAAAAUCUUGGCGCACAAAAUGGCUAGAAGAUUCCAACUUUUCACAAUGCGUAGCUUUUUAUGAUACCUCAUGUUUCCCACCUGACUUCUACCAUCUGUUAUUACAAGGCUCCAUGGGGUCAGUCAUUCUCGAUUCUACCGUUUCAUGAGGGAAUCAUUCAUACUGUAGUCAUGGGUCACAAUACGCUGGCAGCUGCCUGUCAUCACCUCAUCUCUAGCAAGAGAGCGAGAGGACACUAAAUUAAGUAAUGAACAAUUGUGUGAACCCAGAUGCAGUCCAGUCAACAUAACAUCGAGACAUGAACUUGUCGUUCAUGCCGUGAAACCAUAGUGACGUUUCUGCGACAAUCCAUAUCCAGUCUACAGUGCUAUUUGAUAGAAUAGAGAAUACAAUUCGAAUCCUCUGGAAUAUAACCCACUUGUAAUGUUCUUGUAAGCUGAUUUAUGUUUCACUAGAUUUUUCUGUGUAAAUGACACUUAUGCCGCUGUUCUGAAAGAAAUGGUGUGCUACUAUGCACCUCAAGUCUUCGCGACUGAGAAUGGCACAGCUGCAAGACACUCAACAAGCAAAGGAUGCCUGACCCACUCAAGGGCCAUAGGUACCGGUAGGUGGGCAUAACUUUUGUCUAACCAAGGACUCUUUACAGAUUCGUGGUCUGCGUCUAAUGAACGCAAUAGGUUUUCCUGUGGACCAAGUUCAACAAUAGCCCACUCAUGGUGAGUGAUUGGGUACAUAAGCGAGAAACAGCACAAAAAUAGAUGUGUGGCAAGUAAACCUAGCUCAAACCCUCACUGUUUGCUUAGUGCAAACCAAGCAAAGCAUACACACAUAUCUCGAAGUCCAACCAAUUCGUCGUAUGCGUGUAUCUACGUACAUCCCACCGAUCGGUACACCUGCAUCUGCCGACCGUACGACAGAUUACUCUCGUGAAACGACCUCAUUUCUGAAUCUUCAUGGAAUCAUACCGCCGUUUGCGGCGCGCCUGAUUCAAGAGCUUGACGAUAGGGGUGUGAAAACAACGUUUACUAUAUAUAUGAAGAAUUGGACUUUCGGCUAUCCACAAAUCGUCGAGUGGACUGUAACACGUCAAGUUGCAUGCAUCACGCCUCCUUGUCCACGUCAUAAUGGGUGAUUGGAAAUUCCGACAAGAGCAGACCAGAUUUCACCAUACAAAUAACAGAACCAGAAGCUGUUGCCAACUCUGACCAGUACACCGUUCACAGACAUGGUUGGAAAAUAAUGGCGAGUAUGGAACAGGCAGAGAGCAGGACUGUUCAUUAUGUGUUUAUUCACCCCUUACAAAUCUUGCCCAAUGUCAGCUGCAACCCCUAAUCUGCAUUAUGCACAGUAUUAACCGUGUUCUUUAGUUUUGUCUUCGCCAACUUUCAUGUGCAUAAUGAGCUUUACAUGGGUUGAUUCCCUACCCUUUCAAUCCAUUACAAUAUACCGCUGACGCCCAUACAUUCUCACAUGUCCUCCAACAAAAUUGUUUUAGAACUUUGCAUACCACGACUAUGUGAAGAUAGAACUACGCCACGCCACAGCACGCCACUCGAUGAUCUGUGGGAUGUUCGCCUCACAGCCACUCCAAGACAAUUACCGUCUCAAGCAAAUUCCUGAGAGCGCCUCACAAUCCUCCUCACCUUGCGCUGGAACUCACUUCUCUGGUCUCGCCACUCCUUCGCUGCAUCAACAUUCGCAGGAGACUCGUCGUUCGGGUUCGAAAGCAUGGCAAUGAUGCUGAUCAAUAUGGUCUCCACAGUGUGCACGGGCGACCAUCGCUCGCUGGCCAGCUCAUAGCCGUUGGGAUCAUCCCCAGGAGCAUGAAGAAUUGAGAUACACACACGACCAUCGGGGUACACGUUCGGAUGCCACAUCUCGGAGGUGAACCGAACAGACGGCGGGCUGUUGGGGUAGUCGGAAGGAAAACUCAUGAUGGCGUUGAAGAAACCCCCCUCGUACAGAGUCUCACACGGCCCGAUAAUGGUCACGUUCCAUUCAAACACGCUGGAGUCGUCCACAAGCCCUGCCGAGAACCCAUCCACUGGAUUUCUGGACAAAUCUUUCAGCUGCUUCCGCAACAGAAGUCUCGCCUGAUUCUCCGCCAUAGCUGUGCAGCAGAUGUCCUAAGAGACCCACUCUCAAACUAACACACCCAGAAGCACAACCUUCACAAAAACUUUGUGAAACCCAACCACACGCCCUCUUCCCCACCUCAAUCACUCGCACCACCUUCCCUCUCACUCACAAAGCAAAAUAAAUUGCACCACACCGUAGGUGUUGAGCGCCGACCCAAUCAGAACAGAUUGACUAGCACCAGCUCCAACAGUUUGAAAGCUAAGCAGCGAUUAAACGCUGGAGGAACGAGGACAAGCGGCCCUCUCUCGGUGUCUCCGAGAGGAAGAUGAACACAAUACCGACCUAGAGUACAAGGAUCUGCUCAUCUCUUCUAUAUAACAUUCCAAUCAGUGGCAUGCUGCCGUCCUCCCCUGAAAGCUGCCAGCCGUCUCAGCAUUACUUUGAUGAGCUGAGCUAAACUUCAGCUUCUACUUUGUGCUUUCUAGGGUUCUAAUCAACCAUGACGUACGCAUUAUUUUAUACAGUUAAAAAUCUAAUGACGGUUAUUAAAAAGCAUUUCUCGUCAUCUAGAACCUUGUGACAAAUUCAGGUUUCACCCGCAACGAACACCUUUCUUAAACAAAGUAUUGAACAAUCCACAUUCUAAUGCAUAUACCCAGUACUGAAAUUAUACUGCUGGUGUCGGAAUUUGUUAUGCAUCACCCACAUGGUAUUACUAAUUACGAUUUACGCUGUGACUGGGCGAUUUGAUGCCUGAGCUCGUUCCUGACUGGCAGUAAUGGGCGUCAAGCCUUUCGAGAAAAAUCAACUAUCACUUGUUGCUGCAUCCUAAAAGGUUUUACACCCACAAUCGUCACAUGCAUACUGGAACUUGGAUUCAACAGUUCGUCCACCAGAAUGGAAAAAAGCACAUGAGUUUGGACGGGAAAAAAUCAUCGUUUACGGAGCCUUGAUCUAUCAGAAGUUCCAUGACAAUGGUAAUGGUAUUGCUCUCAGUCCAUGGAAUUUUCACAUUUCACGCUAAUUUGCCCAGUCGGCAGAUACGGCCAAAGUCUCGCUACACUUCCUCCGAUCGUCCUGCUCCAUGACAUGUGUGAUCGCUCUACUCCUUCGCUUGCAAGCUUGAACUCUCGUUUCCGGCUGAAUUUUGCGCAGAUUUCGCAGUAUUUGGUUCAGGUAAAUCAUGGUGGUUCUCUGCCGGGUGAGCUAUGGCUACAGGUUGGCUUUCUUGCUCCCGAAUGAACUGUGAUCGAAUUGCAAACUGGAUUUCCGUUGUGUCAUGUCGUUGGGUAUGCGACUGCACAUUUAUAUUAUCGUGGUGCCGCGAGCAGGAAGUGAGUGGCACCAGGUGAAUUCUUGUAUGCGAAACUCAUGUGGUGCAUCGCGACGUCGUGACUCAGUGUCGCAGGAUAAGAUAUGAAAUAUUGUGCAUAGUUAGGAAGUGUCCUCCAGAGGUUAAAGUGAUUUGACCAUGUCAAUCGUCUGUGCUAGAACAUAUGUUUUUCUUUCGUUCUGUUUUUUCUUCGCAUUUGAUGAGAGCUUUAUCAGCUUCAUCUUCUAAGCAAUAUUCGACUUGUGCAACCUUGAUCGCAGCCGUGAAAGGAUUGUUUUCACACACACGGGAAACCUUCGGUAAAGAAGUUGCCAAGAACAAAGAAAUAAAAAGGGUGGCCGGGAUGAAGUUGUGCAUAUUUUUUCCACAGAAGCAAUAUCAACCGACUGGGCAAUGGUAGGCUAUUAGAACGCAAAGCAAGCCACUACUUUGAAACGCCUCAAUCUUGAUGAAAGAUCGACGGAUUCUAGUUUCUACGUUUCUGGAAAACUUCCCAAGGCAGCCUGUAAAUGUUGGUCUGGCUACACUAAUGGUAAGCAGUACAAAUUCUCUUGAAACCUUUCUUUGACCAUAUUGAGGACAUUCAAGUUGCAAGCACAUUCAUAAAAAACUUUAGGGUUCGAGUUGUUGGUGGGUCUCUUCUGCCAAUUAGGGUGUCAGCAGCCGGAUGAAGAGGAGCAUCUGUGUUCAUGGCAGCUGGUCAAGUGAUGGAGCAAGUGCGGAGUGGGUGAGGGAGGGAUCCUUGCACUACAUCAAGAACACUAGACGACACAGCAACGAUGCAGCAACUUCUUUUAAAACGUACUCCGCUCCGGCAAGUGACUUCUCUCAACCACAUGUGUAACUAGAUUUCAGUCUACUGUUGUUUUUGUGAUAUAAUGCUGCCGGUCCAAGAGCUUGGUGGUAUAUGCUCAAGACUUGAAGCCACAAGAACUUGCUAGUCCUCAACCAGAGGUUGCUAUUGUGGUGCGUUUCAGUGAGGACCUAAGAAGAUGAUUCAUUCAGUUUUGCAGAUAAGUGGGUCAUUUGGUACUCAAGGCAAGCAAUUGCUUGGUCAUUGCUCCUCAAUAAUGUGAUCCAUCGAUCCAUGAAACUCCAGCAAUCUGCUCUUGGGAAUGUGACUAGUCCAAGUUUUAGGUUGAAAAAUUGGCCAAUAAGUUGGCUAUGUAUUGCACAUGUUGGUAACUUGUGGUAUAAGUUGGACAUAUGUCACACAAUGGGUUUAUUUUAACUUUGUUUUAAACACUUCACCUUGCAAGAGCCUUGACCCUCUGUAGAUGUAUAGUAUUUAUUUACACAGUUCAAGGUUGCUCUUUGGUGACUUUUUGGAACCAAUUUCUAAAAUUUAUCACAAGAAUGUUGCAUAGCUCUCUUGUUGCAUAGGUCUCUUGUUGCAUAGCUUCAUACUUUGUUGUACAAAAAGGGGAUCAUUUUCUCAUCUAUUUCUAAGUAGAUGAUGACCUUGCAUCUUACAAGGCUUUUGUUUUGGAAUAUGAAAGAAGUAUUUGUUUCAAGUAGACAAAAAUCGGAUUAGCAUAGUUGAUAAAUUAUGAUAUUGAGUAUAUAGGUACAAUCAUUUUUUUUGGUGUUAUUAUUAUUUGUUCAAAAAAAUUAAAUAAUAAAAAAAUAAUUUAAAUUCUACAAGACUUUUUUAAAGACCAAUCAAUAAUUUGAAAUCUAAAAAUCAAAAAUAAAAUAAAAAAAUCAAAAGUUUUAUAUAGUCAAAAAAUUUGAUAUUAUUUAUUUUAGAUUCUUAAAAGUUGUGUAAUCAUAUUUGAUUUUUAUUUGUAAAAUAUAGCUAUUGGAUACAUGAUUAAGCAAAUAUGUAAAAUUGAGACUUAUCCUAUGAUAUUAUAUUAGUAUGUAUAUUAAUUUGAGAUCUUUCAACAAUAAGAUUAAUAAAAGAAUUGAUGGUAUGAAAGAACUUUAUAAAAUUUAAGAUUAGAAAGGACUCACAAUCUUGAUCUUUAUUUGAUGUAUUUGAAAUUUACUACAAAUUAUUUGUUGGCUUAUAUUAGCCAUGAUUAAAUAUAUUAAUUAAUAAAAUUUUCUUUUAUUCUUUUAUAUUCAUAAGUUAGAUUCUAAUCAACAUGUUUUAAACUAAAGAUAAACUCUAAAUAUAUUUAAAGUAAAAAAAAAAAAAAAAAAAAAAAAAAAACUAUUAUUUUGUAUUCAAAACUUUUGAAAUAUUAUUUCCAAUUCAAUUUUAUGAAGGUAUAAAUGAUACUUUUAAUAAUGGUUUUUAUUUUUAUUCCAUUUAUUGAUUCAUUUUAAAUCUAUUAAAACUUGAUUUUUAGAUGAUACAAUGACUCAAAAAACUAUUUUAAUGUUGACAUAUUUUGGAAAGAAUGGCAUAUUACAAAUAAAUUAUAGUGAAUAAUGAUACAUGGUUUGUAUAAUAAAUAAAGUAUUCUUUUAUAGCUAUCAAAUGAGCCCAGGUUGAAAACAAUCCAUCAAGUAAUUGUAGAGCUAUGACCAAUCUUAUUUGGACAAUAUUAAAAUAUUUUUUUGAAUGAGGUAUCCAAUUACAUAUCAGUACUUUGUAGGACCUCCUUUGGCCUUGAUAUUUUCUUCCAAUCUCUUAGGCAUACUUUCUAUUAACAUUUGGCACAAAAUUGCUUCAAUAUUAUUCUAUUCCGCAGCUAUUAUUUUCCAUAAUUUUCAAAAUCCCUUUGGUUUUAUCUUCUAGGUGUUGAACUGAUGUUUGAGGUGCUUCUAAAGAUGUUCAAUAGAAUUAAGAUUAGAAGACUGAGUAGGCGAAUCCAUUACUUUAAUCCCAUGAUGAUUAAACCACUUCCAUGCUAGUUUUGAAUUAUGCUUGGGGUUAUUAUCUUGCUAAAAAAUCACCUCCUCCUCAAAAAUGCCAAAUUCUUUAAUACUAAGGAACACGUUUUUUUCAAGAAUUUCCACGAAUUGCUUGACAUCCAUCAUCCCCUUAACCUCUGCCAUCCUUUCAACUCCAUUCUAUCCCAUAUAAUUCCAUAUCAUUAUAUUUUCACCUCCAUGCUUAGGUGUUUCUUUGAUCUUCUUGUCAAGCAAAGACUAACCUUUUUGUUUCUACACCCACUUUUUGCCAUUUGACCCAAAUCUGUUGAUUUUUGUUUCAUUUGACCAAAUAACUUUUUUCCAAACUUCCACAAUCCAUUCCUUGUACUAUAGAUCAAAAUUCAAGCAUUGUUUUUAAUGGUGGAUAGAAAGUAGUGACUUUUUCUUCUUCACCAUAGCUUUCAUAUUCCAUUUCUUGAGAACAUUUCAAUGGUUUGGGUUGACACAAGAUUAUUGAUAAUAUUGUUAAGGUUUUUAGCAACUUCAAUAAUAUUUUCAGCCUUAUCAAUGUUAAUUUGGCAAAUGAUUUUCCUUUCAUCUACUACAAUGAGCUUCUUUGGUCUGCCAAAUUUAAGGUUCUUCCUAUUAAAAGUGAUCUUUUUUACUAGCCUAAAAAUAGUAGCUUUAUUGCAACUAAGUUUAGAAGCAAUUUGGCGAUAAGAUUUUUGAGAAUGAAGAAGAACAAAGGUGAUGUUAUCUUCAAGAGAGGAGAGAACAGGUGUCAUAGUUGUUCAAGGAAUUGUCAAGGACACAAGAAUGUGCCAAAGAAAUAUGUCAAGAUUAAAGACAAAGAAUGAGAUUAAUAGCAAAAGUGGUUCCAAAGACUCUUAUUUAUAUUAUAAUGAAGAUUACAGAAGUUUAUGGUACUAUCUAUGGAAGUUUCUAAAAUUCUAAAGAAGCUUCUAGAAGCCUAUAGAACUUUCUAAAAGAUUAUAGAAGAUUCUAUAAGUAUCUAAAAGAUUCUAGAAAUUUACAAAAGAUUUUAGAAGAUCCUGAAAUGUGGUAAUUUGGAAUAUAUCCAUGCCAUGAAUUGUGAUUAAGAAUGGUGCUUUUAUAGCUGCUAGUAAGCAUUAAUGAUGUCAUUAGAUUAGUAAUAAUAUUUUUAUAGUAAAUUUGAUGAUAAUAGAAUGUUAUAAUAUUGAGUAAUUGAUAGAAUCCAAAAAUUAGAAACCACAUUCAAAAAAUUGUUUCAAUACUACUCCAAAUUAGAUUGGUCAUAGCUUUGCAAUUAUCUAAUGGAUUCUUUUCAAUCUGGGCUCAUUUGGUAGCUAUAAAGGAGUAUUUUAUUUGCUAUAUAAACCACAUGUCAUUAUUCACUACAAUUUAUCUGUAAUAUGCUAUUCUUUCUAAAAUAUUUCAACAUUGAAACAGUUUUUUGAGUCGCUAUACAUUAAAGUUUCAAAAUUAAUCUUAAAAUAUACAAACUCAAUGAAUAAAAAUUCUAAAAAGAAAUUUAUCUCAAUUUAUUUUAUUAUUUUAUUAAUAAUGAUAAAUAUUUAUAUAUUUUUUAAAAAUUUAAAACUAAAAUAAAUGUAGUAAAAAUUUAAAAAUAUUAUUUUUUAAUUAGUGGUAUAUUUAUUUUUAAUAAAAAUCUUAAUUCAUUUGUUGAUAAAAUUAGUAUAAUCGAUAUUACUAUGUUUCAUCCAUUAAAGUGGACAAUGACAAUAUUGUUGAUGUCACUUCUAUAUACUCAUAAAAGUACUAUCUUAUAAUAUAUUUUUCUAUAAUUUUACAAAUGUAAAAAUCUUAGAUUGGAUAUCUAGUGUCUUUGCCUUGUCUUUUGUUUAUGUUAUAUAUCUAUAUAUAUAUAUAUAUAUAUAUAUGUAUAUAGUCUAAUGAAAAUAUUAUUUAUUUGUUUACUAAAGCUUUAUAUAUAUAAACCAACACUACAUUUUUUUUUAGUAGUAUUAACUUAUUUUUUACAUAACAUAAGAUUGAACAUUAAUAAUUAAUAAAUCCAACUUAGAUCAUGUACUCUAAUACUUCAGCAGCCAUAUUUUUCUUGUGUAGGACUAGUAUUUACUUUCAGUUUGGUUGUUAAAAGAUUUAGGUUCUAUUCUAUUUUCUUGUAUUCAAUAUAAGUUAACAAUAAAGUUUCAUAAAAUCAUUUGGAAGUAUUAACAAUGUCUUAAUUGCAAAAUACCAUCUUGUUUUUCUACAAUGACUUAAUAAUUAUUGGAAGAAAUCAUUUAAAUAAGGUCGGUGUCUAUUGAUUAUAAUUAGAUGAGACAAAAGUAAACCAAUUUAACAUAUCUUAUUUUCUCAAGAAAUAUUCUUAUAUCACUAUUAAUUAUGUAUUUUGAACAUUUGUGUUGGCUUAACAUCAAGAAAAUAUUUAGUAUUAGAGAUAGCUACUAUGUGUUUUGUGUAUUGCUUAAGUAUUAUGAAGCAAGAUUUUUCCUAUUAUCUAUUAAUAAAACUUCUAAUUUUAAGGCUUAAAGAAGUAUCUUUACUACAUUGGUAAAGUAAUUUAGUAAAAAAAAAAAAAAAAAAAAAAAAAAGAUAAGACAUGGGUUAGUCUCUUAUCAAAGUACAAAAUUUUGAAAUAGUUUUCUUACUUGUACAUGUAGUAAUGAUUGUUCAUUUUUUUUCAACUCUAAAUUCUUUACUUCUGGUUGCUAAGCCAAACUAUUUCAAUUAUGAGAGAAUAAUAAAGACAUUUACUUCAUCUAUUGUUAACAAAAAUAAAUAAAUAAAUAAAUAAAUGUAGAGAUUUCCAACUUGGAUUAAUAUAAUCCCUUUAGUAGUAUACAAAGUAAUUAAGAUUCUUUGUAAUGUAAUAAUGAGGUGACCAAUAACAAAGAAGUCAUCUAAGUAAUAGAAGUAUUUAGAGUAUUAUUGUAUUGUAUUCAUGGUACCUUUUUUGCUUAUAGCUUUUGCUUUGACCAUAAGCAAAUGGCAUUACCAAUUUUUAGGUUAUCUAGAAAAUGAUAAAAUCAAAUAUACUUUUAUUUUUAAAAAAUGAUAAAAAAGAAAUAUUUGUAUUCUUUUGAUUGUGCAUUAGGCUUCUGGAUUUUAAUGUUAAUAUUCAUUUUGGUUCUAUAAAGCCUACAAGACUUUGUUUUAGUGAUAUUAGUCUUAGAAUAUUUCAAAUUUGAGUGGUGUUUACAAUUUAAGAAUGUGAUAUUAUUGGACAACAUGUAUUAAAUGUAAUACAAGCUAUUACUUGUGGUACAGUGUUACUUUUGUCCAAGUAGUGCUUAUUUUUAAUGACUAUAAUGUACACUUAUUUAGCUAGUAUGCAUUACUGUUACAGAUUUGUAGAUUCCAAGCCACUGCAUUCUUCUCAAAACCCAUUGCAUUCUUUUGGAACCCAUUGCAUUACUUGGAAAAUAAUUGUACAUGUUUUCUCAAAUAGAAUAGAGACAAUGCCAUUUCUUAGAAAUGCCAGUAUCCAUUGACAAAUUUCCUACGGAUUAUAGAAGUUGCUAGUGUUUGUAUUAAAUACUUUUGGGGGAACACAAAUCUGUUCAACCAAGGGCAGUAAUCUAAUAUCUUGGGGAAUUCUGAAGUGAAUAAAGUACACAUUGGUUCACAAAUGUACAAGCAAAAGAACGUGACUAGUAGAGAAAUUGCACACUUGGAAGUAAGCAUUAUGGAAAGCUUCAAUGCUCUACUCUGCUAUGACACGUGCUUACUCGUAAUUUACAGGUGCGCUGGAUUUCAAAGAGUUUUAUCCCCUUUUUGCAUUCGGUUUUGUUGCCUUCUGCUUGGUUGCUGCUUUACGUGACUCAAACAUGCGACGCUUCAACCGGCUUUUUUGCUUGUCUACAAUGCCAGCCUUUCGGAAAUACUCUGAAGCCACUUCCUUGUUACCUAUAGCUUCUUCUGUUAGAGCAAUUUCCUGUACAAAAAAAAAGCAUCAAUGAAGUAUGAGGUCGUGUUCAUAAUAACUACAUGUUGACAGGUUCAACCUAACAGUGCCAAAUUUGACCUUAGUUCAGACUGAUAGUCGCAGAGACUCGACACAAAACAUGGCAGAUUAUUAGAUCAUUGUUGGAACUACUUCGAAAAGAAAGGUUCUCACCAUCAAAACAGCAGCAUUCUCAGGCUCCAGUGAUAAUGCAGUCAUCAGCAGUUUCUGGGCAGCAAUCAAGUUUCCAUUGACACGUUCCAUGUGUGCGUAGGCCUGUCCAUAAGACCACCAAACCAUCAUAAAACGGAUAUCAAAUGAUCAAAGAACUUGACUAUCUCACACCUCAACUUUGCAACCUGAUAGAUAAUGUAACCACAGGCUUAGAUUCAGCGACAGUUACCUGAAGACAAGGAACAUUCCGAGGAUUAGUUCCAAGACCUCUUUCAAAGAGGAUUCGAGCGCCUGUCAAAUUUCCAGCAUUUUGUUCCAGUAAAGCCCAUGCCUGCGCUCAAGAUCAAGACACCUAUCAAAAAGCAUCUUAAGUUACAGAAUGUCACUCGAUGUGACGGAAAUUCUGUCAAAAAUGCAAACAACGAUUACUCUAGCCAUACCUCUUACUGCAUCAUUUACAUCAAUUUAUGUGAGGCAGAAAAAAUGAAACAGUACCUGCCAAGAAUGCAUGCUGUUCGGGUUCACUUCCACACAUCGUUGAUACAAUUUACGAGCACGUUCCCUCGCUGAAUCUGAAUUUAUCAAAGAUUCUUGAUGCGCCCAAGCCUGGCGUUUCAGGUGCAUGAGUACGUUACAGUUGGGUAUUGUGAAAGAAAGUGUUGUGAUAAUUUACGUCUAACACAAGAGAGUGUUCUUCAUAAACGACUGCAUUGGUUAGGUGAAUUUCAAAUUGUCAGAAACUAAAAUGAGCAGACCUGUAAUGCGUGAACAUUUUCAGGUUCCACGUCAAGCGCUUUCUGAAAAAGUUGCCUCAUUUUUCUUCGCUUGCCUUGAUUAGACUCAAAUAACGCCCAUGCCUGUUAACCAAAGACCAAGCUGAUGAUAAUUACACACAGUACCCACAUGAUCGGGACACAUGAUGUUGAGACAAACUAAGUUAACCCUGAUUUAGAGGUUCGUACGUUCUCAGUCCGGCCCUAACCCACCAAACUACACAAAUGUGCGAAUGAGAAGUUUUAAUCAAGAGCACAACGGGAUUCAGAUUGAUGAUGACAUUCUUGAACAAACAGAGCUCUUGAUUCAUAAUCACAUUAUUCAAGGUGACUAGACUACUAAAGGAGACUUCGAGAGUCAUCAAAGUCGAUGAGAUUUAGAGUUCCACUUUCAGUCACAAUGGGUAUUAGAUUGGUGCUCACCUGCCAGCAUUUCACAUCUUCUGGGGCUGCCUCCACAGCAAGUCUAAAGUGAUAACGAGCAGCAGCAUAAUUGUGUACUCGUGCUUCUAAAAGAGCUCUAGUCUGGUGAACUACUGAAUUUCCAGGUUGUAUGCUUGCAGCUCUUUCCAGUAAUUCCCUAGCUUUGCUCCAAUUACCUAGCUUUUGUUCUAGCAUAGCCCACCCAUGUAAUCCAUAGACACCCGCUCCUUUCAUUUCUAGAACUCCAUUCUUCUCUCCUCUGUGAGCAACUCUAACAGACUCUAGAUAUAGAUAUCUAGCUCUGCUGGCAUUACGAGCCUGCGCUUCUAAAGAUCCCCAUCCUUGCAAUGCUUUAACAUAUUUCAGACCAUAAUCUUCUUGUUUCUGAAAUGCUCCGAUGGUUCUCUCGUAAUACGCUCCAGCUGCAACCAUAUCCCCUGCCACCCACCAAGCCUUCUUUUUCAGUAUUUUGACCCAACCGGCAUAUCAACAACAUUAGAUUCUUGGUGAGCCACACUAAAAAAGACAUCGCAAGAUUUCACAUAAUUCAAGGCUAGAGUUGUUACCUCUUUUCCGUUCAAGUUGAGCCAAAUGAAACAUCACAUCUGCACUAUCUGGAUGCUUCAUCGCUAGCUGCCAGAACAAUCACGAUUAUGUUAAUAACGACAACGACCCAAUAAUAGGAAUGAUAAUAACAAUAAUAAUAUUAAGAAUCCAUCAAUUAGAAGGCCAUGAGAUCUAACCUUAAGCAGGAUUCCUUGUGCACCUACAACAUCACCUGCUGCAAGUUGCUGUCGUGCAGUAGUUAACACCCUAUCAAUGUCCGACUCAACAUCUGUCACUUCGGAAUGCAACUCCAUCGCGUCCUCUUUCUCAUUCUCACCAAAAGUUGAAGAUUGCCAUCCAUCUGUUUGAGGGGUAAUUAAGUCCGAUAAACUACUGCCAACAGAGAAGUUUUUCUUAUCUGCUAAUACAGAAGCAGGUUUAACAGGUUUAGCAGGUUUCGUUGGCUUGGCCAGACUUGGGACGCUACUCCUGUUGCCGUUGCUACAGCCAUUGCUGCUACUUGUUGAGCCUUUCACGGAGUCAUUAACCCUGUCUAUCCACAUCUGCCGUUCUAGCUCUUUAGAAGAAUUGUCCGGCUCCUGUACACUUGGAGAGGGGCUUGCAAUUCUGUUAGACUUAACCGUCAUUUCUGUAGCAUUUGCUUCAGGGGGUAUCAUUUGAUCAACUUGACUAUCAAUGCCAUUUGCGGUUGGAUUUGCAGCAGUUGUCAAAAGCCUCUGGUCAAGCUGUGUGGUAAAUUGCCUAUCUACUCCAGCAAGAUUAUCAAAUAACUUGACCUGCAGCCAUAUUUAAGUAGUCAGAUUCGAGAAACUGAUGUAUAUAAAUAUCAGUUGAUCUCUACUCAAAAUUACAUCUAUGUCCUACUGAAAGUACUCAAAUACCGGACGACUCAGGUACAACAUAAGGGGUCACCUGCCGACGAAAGUUCUUGAAUUCCUCUGCGUUAACAGACCCAUUAAAGUUGGAGUCCACAAGAUUCAUCAGCUCAUUAGCAUCUUCCUCAUCACCUCCGAGCUCGCUAAUAACAUCCUUGAACUCGUCCAUACUGAUUACCCCAUCAGUAUUUCUAUCAAACAGGGUAAACAUUUGGUCGUCAAGUUUCUUCUGUGCAUCUUCCUCCCCAGCCACUUCAACCAACUCAUUUGUUAAAUCUGGAAAUCUGGUUGAUGCCACAUCAGCUGCUGCUUGCAUUAUAGCCUUGAGAAUACCUGCCUGCAUAGAUGCAACUCGCCAACAUGGAUCACAUGUUAAUACUGGAAAAGAAUACUGCAUUGAUUAAUUCAAAUUCUGUCACCCACUUGCCAAGCAUCACCUCCUGACUGUUAAAAAUAUCACUAAGACCUGUUUACGAAGUGCAUUUGAACGGGGUACAGCCUUCACGCUAGAAACAUAGCAGCGGCUAAAGUCAUGCAGGAAGCUAUUCACCUGGUCAGGAUCCGUUAGUCCACCUUUGUAUAGCGAAUGAGAAGCAAGCCCACCCUCUGCCAUCUCAUCCAUCUCUGCAGUGCGAAUCUGUAUUUCCAUUAGAGGUGACCAAUUCCCACGAGUACUCAGAGACACAGCUGAAUGCAGACUCUCAUAACCAUUCUUCUUCGGCUCCGUGAUAUAAUCCUUCAACCUUCCAGGAACCUCCUUCCACAAAGUGGUCGCAAUUUCCAAAGCUCUGUAGCAAGCCCUUGCACCACGCUCCUUCACUGGGCUGGUCCCCGAUUUUCUAGGGGUCAGGACCACCCUGAGGCCUAAAACAUCAAAAACCUCUUCUGGUGGUCUACCAUCUCUGAGUAGCUUCUUCAUGGUACUGUAUUUACUCUUGCAUCUACCCGAUAUUUCGAUUCCUUCUACCAGGGAUUGCAUUUCAGAGUCCUCUUCCAAGGCGCUCUGCAAGUCUUCUUUGCACUGUUGGACGACCUCAUGACCAUCAGCGAAGUAUUGCUCAAGCCAGCCUCCGAUAUACGUAUAGGAGUCUGGAAAGAGAACCCUGAAGCCAAGGUCUUCCAAUUCGUGACUGAGUUUGCCAAUGCCCAUAGCAUGCGCGACAGGCGCAUAAAUUUGCAUAGUUUCCAGAGCAAGCAUCUGUUGCUUAUAUCGUGGAAGAGAUUGACUGUGGCGCAUGAUGACUAAUCGGGCUGCGACUUCCACCACCACAGCACGCACAUCAUGAAACGCAAGGCAGAAUUGGCGAGUGGCUUGAACUGAGGCUUCAUCGAGAGUGUCCAAGAGAGAAGGCAUAUGCUUGACUCGACCACAAUCUUUCAGAAGAAUGGCUACUUCGUUACACAGAACAGUCUCCACUCUUGCAGUGUCAAGGUACCCUGCUUCGAAAACCUCCCGGAGGAGACCUGCUGCAAUCACCUCUGCGUCCAUCUAAUGUACCACAUGAAACGGUACUGCAGGUUAUAAUCUUUCAAAGGGAUCGAUUCUACGAACAAGUGAAAUACAACUGCAAGACACACAAGUCCAUGGAUUCGGGAGGUGGGCUCACCCGAAGAUCAGCAAGGAUAAAGGCGACCGAUAGAGCACGAUUAAGAACUUCGCGGCCGUCUUCAGUGGAUGACCCAUGGCGAAGAGAGCUUACGGUCAGCUUCAGUGCGGCUAACAGAAGCGUAGAACCGUUGCUGGUCGCAAAUUCGGGAGGUAACCUCCCAGCUAAACCGUUCCACGCGCCCAUGAGCUCCGCCACUCGCUGACUCCCAGGGGUAUUGAACAGAAGCUUCGAAGACUUCGAUUCUGCUUCAACGUAUGCAUCACCGUCCCGUUUACGAACAUACCAUUGCUUUUCCGCGUCAAGUUCCACAGAACCUUGAGAGAGACCAUCGCUCGUACUACGACCAGCUCCUAAACACCAAGCCAACAUAUUCCUAGUCAGAUGGUCAGAAUGUUCUUCACAACGAUGUAAAUCACGAACAUCAGUGGAGUUGAUCAGAAUAAGUUACCUCUUUCGAAGGCCAAGAACGCACUUAUCUCCAAAGGUAUCGCAGCUUGUGCAAGGCUGGGUGCAUCGCCCCCUUGCCUCGUCUGCAAUUCUUCAGCAGAAUAGAAGGAGUUCUUGUCGAUUUCGGGAGCUUCCUCACCGUCUGCUUCGUUAAAUUCGUACUCGAAGUACAGUCUUCCCUCCUCGUCUCUCUGCACUUUAUUCCCGCUCUGUUGACUGCUCAGCCGCAACUUGAGUUUGCCUUCCCCUUUGCGCCCCUUCGUGAUACCCAACUGCUCUUCUAAAUCCACGAAACCAUUGUUCGUGAUUACCUGAACCCUCCUCCUGUCAGUCCCGGUUCUUUCUCUCCGACCUCGAUCCUUGCAACGAAGGCUCCCAUCCAACUCAUUCCCACUAUCAUACGUUUCAUGCUCUACAGAGUCCUGCACCCGCGCCUGCACAUGCGUCGGGGUCUGCUUCGGCUCCGACCGGCCGCACUCUCCAUGCCUUUUCCGAAGCUCGAGACUGCCCCUGUUACUCCUCCCAUGUCUAAAGCCGCUACUAAAAUUUUGAGACCUCUCUAACGACGAGGAGGGAACCAACAUGGCCUUGUUGCCGACAUAUCCCAAAUUGCAUGUACAAUCAGACAAUGAUGACGAAGCUGCAGCGCACGAAACCUGUAUAGUUUUCUCAGUUCUCAACUGAGACAACAGAAUGCAAAAAUACAGCAUUCAGAAAAUUGCCUUUUGCUGCAUAUUCAAGACUUGGUUGUGCUGUAAUGAGAUCUUCAGGUCCGCAGUGAUGCCAUUCUUCGUUUUAACCUUGACAAGUACAUGGCUACAGGAUGAUUAUUCAAAAUUUAGGUUUAACUCAAUAUUAGAGCAAGCCGUGGUGUGGUUUUAAAGCAGCAAUCUGAGGUAUGUAGCAGUCCGUGCUGGGCCAAAAUUGCUGUACCUGAGACGACAAUGAGUUGCUGACAGCGGGGGCUUUCGGGAGAAGCUGCAACAAUCCCGUACUGCAUGCACAUACUGCCAUUCUCCGCACUUCUUUCUACCCGCGUCUCGCAAUCCAAAUCAGUCCCGAUCUAUCAAAAGCUUAACGCAAACCUUAAUAGUCUUACACAAUCAAUUACAACUUCUAACUUCAAGAAAACUCGAAAAAUUGGAUCACAACACGCUCUAUACAAAAACACAAAAAAAAAAAAAAAAAAAAAAAAAAAAAACUUUCUGCUUCAGCUACCGUGAAUCAAUCCACAAUCAAGAUCUUCUGUGCACACAACUAAUCCACUCUCGUGUGCAGACUCCGCUCCAUUGCUCAAAAACCCAGCUGGAAAAAUUGCUCGUCAAGUAGUAACUACAAAAAUCCUACUACUAAUCCGCACUCCGGAUAGAAGCAGAAUCCGGGAAGAUAGCCGAUUCGGUGAAUUUCCGGAGGAAGUUGUCCGCCUGCUUGUCAGAUGGGAUUGCUGCAGCUGCGGAGGCUUAUCUGGUCGCAAUCUGGGAAGAGUUAGAGCAGCCUCUCUUUGCACAGUUCUCUGCGCCGUCCAUUGAGCCGAUGUUCGCAAGUAGGCCGCAAAGGAACGUAGUUCCACGCACGGUUUGGGAGAAGGACACAUGGCCACAAACUGGAAAAGCGAAGCGAGAGCACUCCGUCCGGCCACGUGAGUUUGCAAACGUGGGGUCGCGCUGGCCUCGUCAUUGCAGAUUCAAUUGAUGUGUUAAGAUUAUUAUGCCUGCCCCUCCUCGAAUUUCUGUUCCUUUAGGAGACAAAUGUGCGAUUUACCUUUUGCAAUUGCUACCGCUACCCUGGAGCCUCAAGUUUGGAUCCUCUCCCGGCCAUUAGCAGCAGGGUCCACGAGGAGAGACUAACUUUCAGAUCCACCUAUUACUCUCGCACUGCGGCACCUUUCCUCCGCAGCAUUCAUUCGUUGCACUCGUUCUUCUUUCGUUACUUCCGUGGAUUUCGAUGGUUGGUUGUAGUGUCCAUUAACUCAGAUUGCAACUCAUCGAUUCAUGCUGCUGACCUUCCUUUUUCCAACUUCACAAGACCUCACUUAACGGUUAUUCAGCAUUUCACAAGAUGUGAAUCUUACGUGAUUAACGGCCAGUUUCAGUGACGCCCAUAUUCAAAAAUGGCAACCCUCUGUAGACUGCCAACCACUUUGACGAGGUGUUCUUAGAAGUGAAGCUCAGUUACCCAUUUAGUGCUUGACUAGAUUAUGGUCAUUUAACCUUUCCACAUUGGUGCCUCGAAAACAUGUGUAAACUAUUGGGAAUGAAGAUUAUGACACAUUUAAUGAGCGAGAGUUGAACUUCUGUAAGGAAAUCGCCAACAUCUUUUGGAAAAGCUCAUGGCAACAUGCGGAAAGAGAAUGAGGGGGCAUACGGUAGUGUUAAGCGAUGCCGCAAGCAUCGAAAUGUGUAAUAUUGAUUUUACACUAGGUUUACUGGAGAAGAUUCCAAAGUAGUGGAUGUACACAGAUGCAGUAGGUUGUAGAAUCUGCCGUAGCAUCAGCGUUGCUUUGUAAAGCACGCCGGUGGAGGUGACACGAUCGGUUGCCACACUGUGCGGCACAUCAUAGCUGGGCCGUCACUAUAUCAUCCAACGUCGCUGCAGGUGUAAGUAAGAUGUGAGCUUGGUGGGAAGCUGUCAGCCUCUAGUCGGUUGCGAGAUUUGGUAGCGCAACACGCUAUGCCGCUGUCCGUCCAGCAACCUUGCAAUCCAAUCGUUGUGUGCUAUGCGAGUUAUGCAUGGCAUAACAACUCUGCAACACUUGGAGGUAGGCGUGGCGAAACUGUCCACUCCUUUUGAUGUCAUGUCUUCGGUAGAUCAAGCAGUCAUUCUGUGCGAGCGAAAUAUGAACGAGUGUACAUAGUCGGUAUCAUUCAUGGACAACCUCACAUAGCGAACGUCAUUGCUUGGCAAGAAAUUACAGCCAAGCGCUCGGAACCUGAAGCAAACAUUUCUUUGGAAUUCACUCGAGCAAUUCUAAUUCUAGAUUUUUUCAUGCGAGUAGAGAGUUCGUACAUGAUAGCCGUGUUGGCCGUCCAAUGAGUUUUAAACAAAACGUCGAAACCAGAGUGACAAAGUUCCAAAUGAUAUCUGUGCCGAACGGUAAUUCGGUCUGGCCAAGUACAAUUCCUUGAUUCAUCCGCAUGCAAACAGCUGAAUAUCAAGCAGUAGCUAUCUGUAUAUGUACGAAACUUGAAUAUCAUGACAAAAGAUGAGGUCGGUGAUGCCCUAAUGGUCAGUGCCUUCAUCCAGAGUCAGAAUUGACCGCCCGCUUUGUGCUCUUCCAAGCAAACAACAUAGGGCAUGUUUAUUGGUCCCCGAAACAGUUCCCAACUGUAUUUGCAAGGUUGUAACCAUUUGUGAAUAAGCAUCGACACCCUUGGUCCCGACAGAAGGGGUCAUUGGUGUCAAGAGCCCUUUCUUGCGAUCCAAGGCAACCGACCAGCAUGAUCCAUCACAGGGGUUUUAGAAAUGUCAACUUUUCGAACACUCACGUGUAGAUAAUUUUCUGACUUGACUACAUGAGCCGCCACGAUCAAAGCAAGAUACUAAUCAGAGCGGUGACGAAGCCACCUGUUUAAAAGUCGAAGUUGGAGGAGUUCAAGCUCACAAAACUAUUGGCUACAAUAUUGGUGGUCAGAGUGGCAAAGCUUAUCAGAAAGAACCACCAAUGCGAUACAGGAGUGAUGUGGAAUCCGAAGCAACUUGACCGGAAAUCUGAACCGUUACAGAGCUAACUACUAGACCCACGAAUGUGGAAACCGACAUGAAAAAAGGUCCUGCAAUUUACAGACCUGUCAUCAUAAACAGCCUGGCUCUUUAAAUAUUGAGCAAGUUCUGCAAUUGAAGCAAUACAGAUUAUGUGUUCAAAGCCAUUUUGACACACCCUUGCCAUAGCCUUGAAUGCUAACAGUUCACGUCAAGCUUCUGAAUAAGAAAUAGAAAUGAAAUUAGAGGUGAAUCGGAGGGUUCACUUGGAAUUAAUGUUGCAGCGGACAUUGACAAGCAGAGCCGGAAAGAAGGCUCAUCGUAACUGAAAAUUGGACUGAUUGAUUUCUCAAGCUCCUUUUGCAAAUCUCAGUUCCACCAAUCUUACAAGAGCAUUCAAAGCAACGUUGACCUAAAGUAGGUGGGUUUUUGGGGUGCCCAUGGAUAGGUUGCCUAUCAUAUUACAGCAUUUAGAUUUCAUUCUUUGUUUAUAAACGAGGUUCAAGUUGCAAAAAGCCAUGAAAAUGAAGCAACUAAAGUACCACAGAAUAGGUUCUUUCUAAUACAAGCCUUCUAAGAGGUGGAAUUCUAUUUUUAGAUGCCACUUUAUCCACAAACAAUUUUACUACUUCAUCACAAUCAAAAACACCUUAGAGAGUGCUAGGCAAUGGAUAUCAUGUAUCCAAUGUGUUGAGUAGGUGUUUUAUUGUCAAGGAAGAGCAUUACAAAGUCUUAGACAUAAUAUAAAGUAACUUUGCAAAUAAACUUUGGAAAUUUAAGACCAUGAUGUAAACGGUGAAGUUGACAUGGUCCAUAUGUGUUUUGUAUCUGUUUUAAGAAAGAUAAUGUGGACAAGAUGAACAAGGUGAUAUUUAAAGAUUAUCAAAUAAAAAACAAGAUAAUAUAAUUGCUACCAUUCAAAGCUAAAUUGCAUUACAAGUAUCACAUGGAGUAGCGCAUUGCAAUUUGAUUAGAAAAUCAAGGAUUGUUAACUGCUUACUAAAAGACAUUCUUUAAAGGAAAGUAGAAGAUGUCAAUAGAUGCAUUUUUAAGCGUGGACAUUAGAAAGUUAUACUUCAUCAUUAAUGCUCUAAUUAUCAAUAGUGUAUUUACAAACUUUUUCUAUUUCUUUGAAGACAACAUUAAAGAUAGUGAUUUUGAGUCAAUCUCAAAAAUAAACACCUUGAAGUUGUUCAAGUUGGAUGAUUUUAACUCUAAAUAAUUGGUUAUAAUCAAGAAUCUAAUGAUGUAUUUUAACAUGGCUACUAGAACAAAAAGGAUAAAUGAAGAUCUUUAUUUGAGAAUGGCCUAAUUGAAGGUUUAAUAGAAAAUUAUUUUAGAAAUUAUAAGUAAAAGUUACGAAGAAAUAAAAAUAUUAAAAAAAUGUAUUUAUUAUUUUUUCUAUUAAAAGAGAUUUUAUUUAAUUUAAAAGAAUUUUAGGUGCAUUGGUUAUGAACAAAUUAAAUUUGUAUAGAUUAUGCAAGAGCUAUGUUGAGUUAGAUUUUGGUUUGAUUUGGUUGUCUUUGUUUUUUAAGAUUAAAGUAGACUUUUUAUUUUGGAUACUUUGUAAAUUUUAUUAUAGAUCUAUAGGUGAAAUUUUUGGAUUUGUAUAUAUAUUUGUCUUAAGUCUAUGAUAUAAACUUGAACUUAGUUACUUAGUUGGAUUCAAAGUUAUUAGAAUUCAAGUAGUUUAGAAUAUUGGUAGUUGAUAAUUGGAGGGUUAGUAAGAAUUUCAAAGAUUUGUAGGAAUUUUUCAAUCAAAUUGAGAUAUACAUUUAUAAACAAGUAGUUGAAGUAAAUUCCAAUCUAUAUAAAAAAAUCAAAUCAAAUCAAAUCAAAUUAAUAAUACAAGUAGAUUAUCUUAGUGUAAAGAAUUUAAUAUACAAUUAGAAAAAAAAACAAUCUAACAAUUGAAUAAUUUAUUUGUGUUUUCUCUCAAUCUAUAUAUAUGAUUUUUUUUAAUAUUUUUGAGCUUUUUUUUAAUUAAGAGAUUCAAAGAUAUGUAAUAUUUAAAAUAAAAUCAAUAAUUAAUUAAAAAAUACACAUGGAUUUUCAAUUAUUGAUGGAUUUAUUUUAAAUUGAUUAAGAUUUUUUUAGAAUAUGGUUAGGAUUUGGUUAAGAUUUGAUUAUGAUUGUUUAUAAUUUCUUUAAGAUUUGAUUUAUUUUUAUUGUAAUCUUUUUAGAAUAUGGUUUAGAUUAGUUAGAAUUAUUUUUGGAUUUGGUGAAAAUUUAUUAGAAUUUAAUUAAGAUUUAUUUAGUAUUUUAUCAGGAUUUAAUAGAUUUAAUUUUAGAUUUAAUAAGUAUUAUUUAAUAUUAUUUAAUAUUUUCUUAGGAAUUUUUUAGAGCUUGAUUAUUAUUUAAUAAAAUAUAUCUAGAAUUUUUCUUGAAUUCAUAGAGUAUUUUGAGGGUAUCUUAAGGCUUAUUUAAGACCUUAUUUGAGUUGUUUAUGAUUAUAUAGGUUGUAAUUAAAAAUCGGUAGAUUUAAAAACUAAUUGAAAUAAAUAUUUCAACAAGAUCAAGAUUUCUAAGUUGGUUGUUUUUAAACAUCUUAAGCAUAUCUUUUUUAUUAUUUUUUUAUCUUUCCAUUAAAUGAAUUUUGUUACUAAAAAAGUGACAAUAGAGAUAUUAGAUAGAAAUUUGUAUAAGAUGAUGUGUUUUUCAUUUGUAAACUUUUGCUCUCAAUAAAAUUUGAUUGUUUUCAUUAAAUACAAACUGUCCAAAAGAUACAACGUGUUGGGUGCAAUUUGAUACUAUGAUUAGUUGAAUUCUAAAAAAUUAUUAUUAUUUGGUGAAACACAUCAAAGAGAAGUUUUAGAUAUAUACUACUUUGGCACUUUGGAAGAUAUUGACGGUAUUUAUUGCUUUAUUAUUCAACAUCUAUAAUGUAACAGUUUCUAUUUUUUAAUCCAAAGACAUGGUAUUAUCACAAUAGAGCUCAAAAAGCAAUAAUUUGACUACUAAUCUCUCUAGCAUUGGCAUUAUUGAUCAUGCACCAAUAAAGCCAUACAAAUAUUCAUACAAAUAUUUAGACUCAUCUAAAUAUAUCAAAGAAGAGGUAUUGUAGUAGAGCAUGGUUAAAAUAAUUAUACUAUUGACACAUGGAGAUAUGUAAUUGGGAUUAUUUUUAGAAAGUUUUUAGAAGUUUUUAGAAUUGGAUUUAAGUUAGUGGUCUAUAUAGGAUCCACCAUGGAACAUCCUAAAAGAACUAAGGGCGAUUAUUUAGGUGGAUCCCACUUCUAGAAUCUUUUAGAAGAGUAGUUAUCUUUGUGGAAUCUACCAUCAAGGUAAUUCUAAAAAGUUUUAAGAUGGUUUAAUAAAGUAUAAAUAGGAUUGAUUGAGGUCAUUUGGAACAUUUAGUUAGGUAUGGUUUUGGUCCCUUUUUCUCAAUAAAGUUUGAUUUGUAUUUUUUUAUAUAUUUUGUUCUAUUCUAUUUUCUUUUGCUUUGUUUCAUCUUUUAUGUUUUAUUUUGUUUAAUUCUGUUUAGUUUUGUUCUAGUUUGUUUUUUCCUAUUUAGUAAUGGGAUCUAUGCUACUAUAGAUUGGAAGGGUUUUAAAUCUUUAAGAGAAUUCAAUUCUAUUUUAGAUGCUAUAGAUGAAGUGAAAAUCAAUCAUUGAACAUAUCCAUAAUCAAGACUUAUAAGCUUGUGUUUUUUUUGUUUUUUUGUUAAAGUCAAGUCUUGAUUAGUAUGUGAUACUACUCAAUAUUUCUUGAAUUAUAAAUUACUUAAUCAUUUAAAUAUCUUAAAUUUGUAUUAAGUAUAAUAACAAAAAAUAGAUUGUUAUAAACUAAGCUUUACACAUAAUGCCUAAACAACUUAUAACAAUCUAAAUUAUAAUAUUCAUUAAUUAAAUUCUUAAUCUCUAUUAUUUCUACUUUACAUGCUUCUUAUUAUUGAAAAUCUUUAAACAAGUAGAAUACAAUUAUAAAGCAUUAUUACAUGCCUACAAUAAUGAAUUCAUAAAAAAAUAUAUAUUAUAAAUGGUCAUGAUUGUAUGACCAUGUUCAAUCAUGCAUUGUUAUGGACAUACACAUGUAAACCAAUAUGAUUAGAUAAAAGUAGAUAAAAGUAGAUUAAUUCCAUAAUAUCUUCUAUAGAAGCUUUUUAGAAGCUUUGUAGAUACUGCUUUGACUUUAUAGGUGUCUAUAAUUGACUUUUUAAGUUAAAAACGUGGUCAACAAGUUGGUCAUAUGCCACACAUGUUGGUAGCUUGAAGAAUAAGCUAAUUAUGUGGCCUACACAUAGAAAACUUGUCUUGUAAGGUAAAGCAUGUGUUUUACAAAGUCAACAUAUAUUAGAGGUUCUAUAGAACAUCACCACAUAGUUCUUAGUUAGAUAGUAUAUAUAGAGGCAAGAGUGAAGUCGUCUUCACUUUUGUCAACUCAUUUUUUGCUUCAAGUCUAGAUUUAAGAAUCUCUAGUUUCCUUGUCUUUUGGCAAUAGCUAUUCCAAUUUCUUUUUAAUAUGUAUACUACUUUAUUGUUAUUUUGUCACUUUUCUUUUGACAUAGAUUUCUCAAGUUUAUGCAUCUUCUUCUAAUUCAUGUCCUUGACAUGCAUAGAAUUAUUGCAAAGGUUAUUUCCUUCAAUUUUAUUGGUUCUCAAGUACUUUGCUAUUUGCCUUUAUCAACACUAUAUUAGUGGAAUUAUAUUUUAUUAUUUAAAAUUUUAAAAAAAAAUAAAACAAAACAAAAAAACAAAAAAAAAAACAAAAAACAAAAAAAACAAAAAACUCAAAUUACUAAUCCUUCAAAAAUCUAUUUCUUGAAGAAAUCUUCUAAAAAAAGAAACAUGCUCAUGAAGCUUCAAUUUGAUAUUUGCUACUAGUAUAAGAAGUUGGCGUACCACAAUGAAUUUAAGUAUAGUAAUUGUGACAUAUCUUAUUUUUUUCAAACUUUUUUUAAUGUCUUAUAUCAUGAAAUAUUCAUAAUCUAUAACUUGAAAUAAUUGAUCUUCAACUUAGUUAUUAUCUUUACUUUCUAAAAUUAAUAUUUAAUUCUUAUGACAUUAUUAAAGAAUUAAUGUCUAAUUUGAUGAGUUAUAAAAUUUAAAUUCAUAAUUUUACAAAGAUAACAUAAUUUAUAGUUUAUCUAGUAAUUGUAUUCAAUAAUAUAAUAAAUGAUUACAUGUAACUAAAUUUCAAGGAGAUAUAAUUACUAGAAUCAAAAUCUUGAGGAAAAUAAAUCUAGAUCAAAGUGUGUUUGUUAAAGCCAAGAACUGAAAGAAAAUAUGGAAUUAAAAGAGAUUUGUAUCAACAAGAGAUGACAAAAAUAGAAAUAAAAAAAAUAUGUAUCUUUAAGAAAAAACUAAAAUGACUAUUACCAAAGACUAGAAAUCCAAAAACUUUUGAAACUAGACUAGAAGCAAGAAAGGAGUUGACAAGAGUAAGAAAGGCCUCAUUCUUGCCUCUACAUACACUACCUAAGUUAGAGCUACAUAAUGAUAUAUUUGCAAUGGAUAGCAUUAAGAUAGCAAAAAUCUACACAAAUAUAGAGUUUAUUAUUUUUCUUAGGAGCAACAAUAAUUAGAGAAAGCCAAAUGAUUUGGUUGAAUAAUUCAAUGAAUUUGUGUGAGACUUGGAAAUUGAUUUAAAUAGUCUAAAAUUGAGCUUUAAUCUCCAAAUUGAGUAUGUAUAGAGUAGUUUCUUUGAUUUGAUUCCAUUCAAUAAUAUAGAGGUUAGAAAGUUCUAACACCAAGCAAUAUUACUUAUAAGGACUAGCUUAGUCAUUAGUCCUAUUUUCUACUAGUAGAAUUCAUAUUUUUUUAUUUUUGAUUUUACUGUGGUUUCCAAAAAUAUUUAAUUGGCCUAGUAAAUUUAUAUGGCCUUCAAAUCCUUCUCCAAUUCUUCAUAAUGGCUCCCAAGGUGAUAAAACUUAUUUGUACUAAAAUCUUAAAAAUUAUUCUAAAAAUUCCUAAAAAAAAUCUAGAGAAAUUUUAAAUAAAUUCUUCAAAUUAUUAAAAUAAUUCUAAAAUUCUAUAAUCAAUUUAAGACUAGAUUUUUUUUAACUAAGUAGCUUUCUAUAGUAAUAAAAUAAAUUUAAAUCAACUAUAAAUUAUAUUUCUAAUAUAAAUAAUAAAAAAGAUAUGAGGUUCUUUCUCAUGCUUCUUUUAACUACUAAUUAAUAAUUACAAUUUUUUUAAAAUUAGUAUAUGAAGAUAGAAGGCUUAUGUAGAUAUUUGUCUCAAUAAUUAAAUAAUAAUUCUUAAUAAUAAACUUAAUAAGAUUCUAUCCUAUUAAUAUUUUCUCUAGUAAGACUCUUGUACCCAAUUAACACUUCUAAAUUCUAAUAAAUACUCAAGUAAUCAAAAAGAUUCUCUAAUUCUAAUAUUUUGUAAUUAAAUAACUUAAAACUAUAUUUUUAACAGUUCUACCAAUCAAGAUCUAUUGAUAGGACUUACAUAGCUAUUUUAAUUUUAAAACUAUAUUAUUUUUGAGUAAAUUUAUAGAUGUCUUCAAAAGAGCCGCAAGACCAUAAAAAUUUCUCCUAUGAGUAUUUAAUAUUUAGAAAGUUAGUAUAAAAGUGCCCUACAACUUGGAUAUUUGACCUAAAAGUCAUACAAUCUUUAGAAAUUUUCUAAAUUGCCUACUUAUUAGCUAGUAUCUAUGAAGGAAAAAUUGAAGCUAUCUUCACUCUUCCCUACACCUUUUUACAAUUUAAUCUUUGUUCAAGAUUCUCUUGAUUCUUUGCACUUGAUAAUUUUUAUUCUAGUAACUUUCUAUAUUUUAAAUAUAUAUCUUCUUUGUAUUUUUAUUUAUUUUUAAUUCUUUUUAGUUUUGCACAAGUAUAGUGUCUUUUGAUAAGUCUUUCUAAAUCCAUGUCUUCAAUUAACAUUGAAGUAGAAUUUACAAGAAUACUUCUAUUACUACUCCAAUUUUUUAAAAAGAGUCAAAAUUUCUUUAAUCAAUUUACUUCUAUUAAUUUUUUUUGUAGUUCUUUUUAAUGGCUUUCAAAGACAAUUGAAAAUAUUACAUUUUAAAAUUUUAUGUUAAUUCACUAACUAAUCAUCAUUAACUUUUCAAAUUUUUGUUAAAUUUAGAGUUUAAUAAUUAGUGUAAAAUUAAGCAUUCUCCACUAACUAUAUAUAUAUAUAUAUAUAUAUAUAUAUAUAUAUCAAUAAAUCAAUUAAUAUAUAUAUUUUUUAAAAAAUGGUCUAUUCUUCUUAGAUUUAUUUCCUCUUCUUUUUAAUACACAAUAAUAGAUUGCACCAUGUAACAUCAUGUCUCUUUAACUUACUUUAGAAUACUAAAUGACAUUUGUAUUAAACUAUUUUUUUGUAUUCAAAGUUUUUGAAUGCCAAAUAUAUUGAAAUGUGUUUUAAUUUUUAUUGUAGAAAUACUUCUGAAAUAUUUUUACAUAUUUUACAAUAUAUGUAUGAACAAGCCCUUCUAAUAUAGGACAAUUUAGUUAAGUAUAGGACAUUAUCCUUAACUAAGCAAAAUAAAAUUGUCCUGUACCAAGAGUAUAUUUUCAAACUUACAACAGUUAGGAAACAGCAUUUCAUAGUUAUUGAACUUUAAAUGCAUGGUUGUCCCUCCUAUGUACCUCUAUAAUGAAGACUCUUCCAGUCAUGUCUAUUUGUGUCACAUAUUACACUUUAUAUAAGACAAAGAGGACAAAAAACUUAACACCUUACAAAAGUCUUUCACUUGGUGAAGAAGAACUCUAUUAGAAUCCUUAGUUUUUGGAGAUAACAUAAAGUGAAAAGACACUAUAAAGUAGAAAAAAUAUUUUAUUACAAAUAUGGGACUUGAUUCUAAUUAGAAAGUCAUUUGUUUUAUUUUCAUUCAUUUUUAAGUGAAUCCUUCAUACAUAAGUUUUUUCGAACAUAAAAUAUUUAAAAAAACCAGUUUCGAAUCAAACUUGGGGCAGAUUUUCAAGGAUACUAUUUAUCAUAAUUUAAGCAAUUGUAUUCAAUCAUUUUCCUCCUUUGCCAUCUACAAUCUCCGUUCCAGGUAUGACAUGGACAAAGCUGAAACUUCUCCAGUUUCUUCGCAUCGACCAAGUCGUUGAUUAAAAAGUCAUUGCUUUUUACUUUAAUCACUGUACACAAACUGUUCAUAGUGGCUUGGGCAAUACUAGAGGAUACUAGAGACCGAGGCAAACGAAUUGUGAGGGAGAGUGACACUAUUCGAUUGUAAGGUAGUGCUGACGAACAACGGCAGCCUGAUCUCAUUUCCAUCUUGAGAUUUAUCGGCAUGUAAUAUAUAAGUUUCUGGGUGGUGCAUAAAUAAUUUUUCAAAAUGAUAAAACUUAAAUAACCGGGAACUGCACCAUAGAUAAAGAACACGAUCACCAAUUCCAUUGCAAUCACCACUCUCAUUUCCCAACAGCAUACCACAUCCACGCCGAUAUUUAGCUCAUGCGCAAUUCAAUUACGUAUCAAUAUGACAUUCAAUGUUCCGGACUCCAAGAGCCCUGCCAUCUUCGGUCCAGUACCCAAGUCUGCCUUUGCCUCUCACUCGCCUGCAGCAAGUAUAUCGAACAAGCACACAAGCAACUCAACAAGUGCACGCUCCAACAUAAGAUACCUACCCCAAUAUCAACCCCGCUCUGGACACCCGGUGACUGCUCCGCCAAAACCAAAUCCCGCACUAUUCACUUCUUCUUGGCAGCGGCCUUAGUAACCUUCGCACCAGUUGGUUCCUUCUUCUCCACGGCCUUGAUAACACCUACGGCCACCGUCUGUCUCAUGUCACGCACGGCGAAACGUCCCAAUGGCGGGUAUUCCGCGAAAGUCUCCACAGUCAUGGGCUUGGUCGGAAUCAUCUUCACGAACCCUGCGUCUCCGUUCUUCAAAAACUUGGGCUCCUUCUCCAGCUCCUUACCCGAUCGCCUGUCCACCUUCGUCAAGAUCUCGGCAAACUUCACGGCAAUGUGAGAGGUGUGACAGUCCAGCACCGGCGCGUAACCGUUUCCGAUCUGUCCCGGGUGGUUCAUGAUGAUAACCUGGGCAGUGAAGUUGGCUGCUUCCUUCGCAGGGUCGUUCUUCGAGUCCGAAGCCACGUAUCCUCUCUUCAGGUCCUUCACCGCCACGUUCUUCACAUUGAACCCGACGUUGUCUCCGGGGUGAGCCUCAGGCAUCGACUCGUGGUGCAUCUCCACCGACUUCACCUCAGUCGUCAGUCCAGUGGGUGCAAAGCACACCAACAUACCCGGCCUGAUGAUUCCAGUCUCCACACGUCCCACUGGCACAGUUCCAAUACCUCCAAUCUUGUAGACAUCCUGAAGGGGCAACCGCAGGGGUUUGUCGGAUGGCCUCUUGGGCUCUGACACGUUGUCCAGGGCCUCGAGAAGGGUUGGGCCCUUGUACCAGUCCAAGUUCGUCGAUCGCUCGAUCAUGUUAUCACCCUCAAACCCUGAAAUGGGCACGAACGGAAUCUUGUCCGGGUUGUAACCGACCUUCUUGAGGUACGUCGACACCUCCUUGCUGAUCUCAUCGAAUCGAGCCUUGCUGUACUUCGGCGUGGUAGCGUCCAUCUGCCACACAUGGCAUACACAUCGUCAAUAAAAGGACAUCCUCAACCCAUGCGUGCCCUAUUCUCACUCCAAAACGGUUCUAGCUUUUCUAAGUUGGUGGUUAUAUACAAUGACAUAAGACAGUACAUAUGUCAGGCGGUCUAAUUCAUUGGUCCAAGUAACCAAAGUAGACCUUGUUCAUACAUCGGCGGUCGCAGUAUGAUUCAAAAUGCGGUACCGAGACGAACUCAAUGAAUGUACAUUUGAUAUGACUUACCUUGUUGCAGCAGCAGAUCAUCUGCUUCACUCCCAAGGUGAAAGCCAACAGUGCAUGCUCACGGGUCUGCCCAUCCUUGGAGAUACCAGCCUCGAAUCCUCCGGUGGUGGAGUCAAUGAUCAGCACUGCGCAGUCCGCCUGCGACGUUCCCGUAAUCAUGUUCUUGAUGAAAUCGCGAUGUCCGGGAGCGUCGAUCACAGUGCAGUAGUACUUCACGGUCUCGAACUUCCACAGCGCAAUAUCGAUCGUGAUACCACGCUCGCGCUCAGCCUUCAGCUUGUCCAGCACCCACGCGUACUUGAACGAACGCUUGUUCAUCUCAGCCGCUUCCUUCUCAAAGCGCUCGAUCACACGCUUGUCGAUCCCUCCUAGCUUGUAGAUCAGGUGGCCUGUGGUCGUAGACUUGCCGGAGUCGACAUGGCCGAUGACCACAAUGUUGAUGUGAACUUUCUCCUUACCCAUCUUCGAUUAUCUGCACAACCUUUCAAACUUGUGUAAGAUAUCCAGGCAGCACAGAAUCUCGGAAAUACGAAGUUCGAAGUACACAGCAAAGAAAAAUUGUAUCCAGAAAAUAGCUACCUUUCAGUCUCUCUGAUAAAGAUUAGGACGUGAAGACUACCUACUAACAGGGAAGGAAACGACAGCAGGUAUCAACCAUGAGAAACUCCAAGAACCCCAUCUCGCAUUGGGCAGCCGCGCCGGCUGACUGAAUGACAAAGAAGGUGAUCCACAAAAACCCUAAUAAAAGUGCACAAACAUGUUACUUCACACCGAAAGAGGCUCUCAAACAACCAGAUUUUUCAGCAGAAAAGAACCGCAUUGUUAUUGCAUACCUGGAAAACGAGGCAGAGGUUCCGAGCAGCGUAGGAAAAAACGACAGUGGCGACUAAUCUCGCAGGAGAGCUCUGGAGAGUAUGUCACGGGACGACAGAUUAGCGUGCGGCGCUCCCUCUUCAAGGGCUUACGCUGGUGGCUCCGCCCUCGAAUCGUCCAUCGAACGGCCCUGCUUGACAGUCCGCAUGGUUCACGGCGCGGUUAGACGCGCCGUUUGGGAGGCGUGCCUGGAGGCGGGGGCGAGGAAGCAACCCCCUGCCCUAAUGAGGACUCCCAUGCACAAGGGUGGCGGCUUCGUGAGCCCACGUUAUCAUGUUCUAAUUUCGAGGCCCAAACCGGAUUAAAUCUCUGUGGGUAUCUCCGACCAAAAGAAUUUGAUCCUCACUGUAGCUCCUCAGCGGUUCGUAUGCAUGAGUGUCAUGAACCCAAGAAUUUCUCACAAACUUUGCCUUGAGUGUGAUGCUCUUGUUGCCGUCUCGGAGUUAAUCAAGAGCGCAAGCUGUGACCUAGCUUACGUAGACUGCUAUUCAAUUGUGUACAUGCUGCUGAAAAACAAUCAUGUUCUUAAUUUUUAUAGAAAUGAAUAAUUUGCCAAAUUUUUCUGCGGCUACAGAAUUGGUGGUCACGGAACAAGCAGCGUCCAUGCUGAGCAAUGUAUUCAUCUGUGAUUUUUGACUGUGUUAUAUGACGUCCGCAUUCUGAAGCUACAAGCAGGAGUGAGUGUUGGAAUUGGGUAUUCAUGCGCAAAUGGGAAUUGGAUAGUAAGCACGUCUGGAAGCCAAGGGUUUAUCAUGACAGAAGUCUUUGCCGUCCACUGAACUAGUCUCAUGCCAUGUUCGUGAUGCCGGCACCAUAUUAUGGUGCAUGUUUUAUGUUGGUGAGUUUAUGUCACACAUUUUCAUGUAUCUCUAGGGAUGGAGGGAGAGUUGUGAUCGUGCGGUGAGAUAAUGGUGAUGAGCUUUCAGAGGCCGGAUAAUACAAGAGAAAUUGGGCACAGUUGCUCGUUGAGAACGACCUCCGCGAGGGUUUUAUUGAGGUAUCUGUUUUCCCAACCUCUACGUCCGUUUAUGAAAUUGGGCAUGAGUGAAGAUUAGUGGUGCGAGGGACUUCUGUGCUGCAUUUAGAAUUACAUCACGUACCAAAUAUUGUUCAAGUCAUUGUGCGAGACAUUCUUCACGAGUACAGUAAGUCCGUUGGAGACUCCGAGUUUCUUCCCAUCACUUUAGAAGUUCGUUAUGUUUCUUACCUUCAUGGGGCGGCGGAAGCUCCAUGGUCUAUGUGUUUUUUGGAAGUAUCAUGUGCGAUUCUCUGGGAACGCGCGCUACAAUUGAAACGCACACUAUUUUUGGUUGUUUGUUUGUUUGUUUUUCUCUUGCUUUAGAUUCACUUAGAAAUUGCCAAUAACCGAAUUCGCGAAUGCGCCAACUGAGUUAAAGUUCCCCCAGUAGAGGAUCCUGGAGCCUAGCAUCCCAAAUAUAUUUCCCUGUUCUCAGUCCUGAACCAUACCAACUCCAUUGUUAUCGCUACUCUUGUUUUAGCAGCAGGAAGUGGGAAUCGCUUGCUUUGGAGUGCGUAUAAUAAUACAGCAUUGCGGUGGUCAAAAAAUAAAGUACUCUUCUGCACCCUGUCAUUACUAUCUCUACGUAUUCGAUCAAGCUGUUCACGAGCUCGUCGACUAGAUUUGAAGAGUUUAUUGUUCUGGUGCGAGCCACGGUACGAAAUUAUCGCAUUACAAUUACUAAGUGACGGCUUCUACACAACGUAAUUCGGAGGCGGUUUGCAUUGGCACCCUGAAUCAUACUGUGGUGCUAUUAUCCUCAAUUUGCAUCUGAGUGCUGUGUCUGUGCACCAGGGCACGAAACGGUACUUGAGGAGACUUCGUCCAGUGUGUGCUCGGAAUGGCGCCAGAGUUGAGGUUGAGGAGCUUGGAGUGGUUCGCCUUAAGAAAAGAGAAGGGAGAGACAAUGGAGAGAAAUUGCCAGAAGAUCUCGGGCUGAGGUUGGAGAUCAAGGCGAAGGCUGCUGCUUUUAUUAGCAAUGCGCAAUCGGCGAAAGGAGGUGAAGGGCUGCUUGGACAAAUACUCGGUGUGGAUCUCGGGUUGUGAAGACUGGGUUGUCAGUUAGUGUGGGUGGUUAUGAGCCUCGGUCUUCGACUGUAAAAUUUUUUAUACUAUAACAAUUUCGUUUUGCACGAAAUGGCUGUGGUAAUGUCACAGUGCAUCGUUUUCUCCAUGCAUCAAGUCUUUUUUAAUCACCUACUGUCUGCCAACUCAAGCACUACAUUCUGAUACGAGUGUGUGAGUACGGGACCACUUUUUACACUGUGUACUUUGUCGCUGAGCAAGAUUUGUCUCAUAACUAGAAAAGCAGCGGACCUGUUUGAUGCACCUCAUCUCUUAAGCCGGUCGUUUUAUAAUUUUUCUGUGAAUGUAUGGAGAGCCUCCUCUUUUGCAGGCUGUCAUGUGGAAGACGGUUUGUGCAAUUUCAAUCGAGUAAAUUGAAAAUAACGUAGCAGCAGAUUUGAUGUUUGAGAACAAAACCACAAAUCUGUCAUCUCUGCUAACAUCAGCCUUGUAAAUGAAGAAAUGUUGAAGGAACGGGUCGGUUACAAAGGAGUUCGAAAUUCUGCUCAUGUUUUCGACAGUAAUGUUAGGUUGUGCCCCAUAACGGUACUCAUACAUUUGACGUGUUUCUCAUGUACUCGGCAAGUUAAAACUGCGAUGGCAUCUGAUAGUUUGGUGUAGAUCUAAACCAUGACAACAGAGCAUGAGGGAUCAGAUAUACGUUUCAUCUCUAUUUGAUUCGGUUCCUAGUGAUGCACGAUGUCUGCUUCGAGAACGAGGAUUGUGUUCUUGUUUGGCUAAGCUGCGUCACUGCAGAAAGCAGGCGAGUUUGUAUUUAGCAAGAUUUGUGAACAAGGAUAUGUGGAUAAUCUCAAUUCUCUAUACUACCGCAGAAAACUGCAAAUAGGAAAGAAAAGCGGUCAACCUCGAACAUGUCGGAACAUGCGGAACUGUGCAGUACUCAUGGUAAUUGGUUGGAUAUGAUGCAGAGGCAAUAACAGACGGGAACAGAUUGUCUCGCAAGCGACAUGACGCUUAUGCUGCCUUGGUCAAGAUCAUACAUUCUUUUUCACUGCUGGCCUGAUGUUGAGAGAUCCUACUUGAUACUGACAGAACCACGUGACAUAGGAACAUAGCGUCUUUGUUUGCGAGGUUUCAUUUUAAGAUGGUCCAAAGCUCCUGCUGGUUGGUACUAAGGUCUCCUAUGGAUGGGGCAAUGAUGGUUCUGGAUGUGCGUCAUGUGAAGUUUACAGUUGCGUGAUCUUCAAUCAUCGAUGCAUAGACUGUGUUUGACUACCCAAUCAUUCGAAAGUCUGUCCUUUCGAGGCUGUUGAGCACAAACAGAAAUCUUCGGACGAAAGUUUCUGCGCAUCCAAAUAUCGCUUGCUUCUACAUGUGACAAAUUAGAACCUUUGUAUGGAUGGGUUGAGUCAAGCUUUCAAAUGGAGCAGGGUUAAGAAAGUGCUGGUUUUGUAAUUAGUAGGCAGGACUCAGGUGUAAGUCAAGUAUUUGUGUCUUUCUAAUCCUUCAACAACCUCUUGGCGAUAUGACACAAAUGGUGUCUUGUUAAGUAGACUGAAGUACGGAUUAAGUUAUGUUAACGAUGUUGCUGUCAUCCACAGGCGCUGCUGCUGCGGGGCUACUUGUAAUCCACUGGUUCUCGUGCUCGAUUACUCCUCCCCAAACCUCUCGACCUUCAGCGGCUCCCCUGUCAAUGGCCUUCAAUGCCUGUGCUUCCCACCCUCGAAGAUUAUAACGACGAUUGAAUGAUGAUUUUAACAAACCUCAAAGUUGACGACAGCUCAGCGCCUGUUUCGUUUUUUUCUCUCUCUCUUUCUUUCUUUCUUUCUUUCUUUCUUUCUUAUCCUUUUUUUUUUUUUUUUUUUUUUUUUUUUUAAAUGGUGGCUCACUGGGUGUAUAUUGUGAUCAGGAUGCUUAAUCGAUUCUUACAAAUGAUUCACCCGCGAUCUAGUGGGCGUUUCCAUGACUAAGUUGCAAAGCACUCACAAGCCACAUAUCUGCUGAUGGUCGGUGAAGUCAUGGGAAGUUGAAGAUGCAUUCAGUUCUUCCAUCUAUGCGCUUCCAUGAACUUACUCACACCUAUUACAUGACUCUUUACAUAAAAAUACUAUUGAGUACUUCCGGUGUGCUCCGCAUUCUCAUAGUAAGUAUGAAAUGAAGAAACAAUCCGAUUUGCCAAGCGCCCUUCUGCUGUUCGGUGUGGACAGCGAAUUGGUGAUGACUUUGUACAACUCAAAUUGGAAAGAAGGUAAUAUCCGUUCCAAGACUUCGGUUUUAUCCGAACAUGAUUCCAAGCAUUACUCCUUGUGAUGGAAUGCCUCUCACUGUAACAAGAAGCAGCAACAGAAACGCUCCACCUUGAACAUGUCCGAAAAGCCCACGCCAUCAAAACCUAAUUUGGAGCCUCAAGCCCUACUUGUCCUUGCUCAAUGGUGGGUCCUUUCCUUUCGUCAGUUGUUGAUUUGUCUUUUUCUUCUUCUUUUCAAAGUGGUACUGAAGUGACGUGGUCGUUUGGUUUAUUCUUUACUUUUAAGUUAGCUGAUGACGCAGAACAAUACUUUGCUUUCCUCUUUCACCUCCUUUCCUGGUUGGGGCAUCCGUGGAAAAAAUAGUUUGUUAAGAAGCAUGUCCACCGCGUCCUCAGAGCUGUCCAAUCAACGGGUGUGACACAAAUCCGCCAACCUCACACCCAUGUGUGGGAGUUGAACUUGUCAUCCCCAUCCAGGCGAGGACUAUCAUGUCCAGUGGUUUUUUCCCCCACUGCACACCUAAAAUACCAUACAUCACACAUGCUUCGUAAUUUCCUGCCGACCAUUUCCUCACCAGUGUCUGCUUGUCACUGUUGCAUAAACGUGCCGCCCGAUUCCAACCAUCACACACGCACACAUACUCACAUGUAGGGGGAGAGAAAAACUUGUUCAGUACCCAACAACGGGUCAUCCUGACCUCCCAAGCGCCAGCGACCUCACAAUCGUCCAGCUGGUCCCAGACUUGGCCACCAAGCAAGCUCAGCGUUCGGCAUUGACAAGGUCUCAGUUUGUGCCACUGUAGAACCCGUCGCAUGCGUCCCUGCAGCCCAGGUCAGGGUCGUUAGAAAGCAAGUGCUGGGGGCGUCGGAGCGGCGGAGAAUAGUUCUCCUGGGCAUGCAAAUGAGGCAAGCAAUCAAGCUGAAUGUCCACCCAGAUUCCAGCCCAUACCUCCGCCAUCGCCAUCCUGCCACACAGAGAGGGCCACAGAGCUAGAAGCCAGAAACCAGGAGGGGGGAGGGAGGGGAACCUUAUCUCGAUCAUUUAUUUGUAAUGUAUGUAUGUAUGUAUGUUUCUAACUUUAGUUUACUGGAGUUUGGAAACUAGGGCUUGUUAUGUUAUUCUGCUUGAUUUUUAUGUACAGUUAUUUUUCUCUGAAAUCCUAUACCCAGGUACUCAACUUACAACGUGUUGAUUUUUUCCUCUCUAUGUGUAUAUGUAUGUGUUCGUGUAUUUUUUGGAAUACAUAUUCAACCUUAUUAUUGUUUAAAAAGUCUAGUGCAUAGAUUUUGAACUUCGUACUGUUGAUUUGUUUUGUUUUGUUUUUGUUUUUUCUUGGAAGUUGAUAACAGUUCAUGUGUUUUGCCCUUGUAUUGAUAUUUAAGUGGUGAUGGAAAGAGAUAGAGACAUAGAAUAACUAUUUUGAUAAAUUUAACGAAAAAAUAUUGGUUGGGACAAGUGGAGUAGGUGCCACGUUUCAAUGUACUGGAAGAGUUGGAAUUGAAUUGUUGUGCUCUGAUGGACUUGAACACAAUUCACCUCUCCUUGGAAUACAUAUAAUGUUUUUAAAAACAUGAGCAUCAUUUUUUAAGUAUUUUGUCCACAGUUCAAUGUUUUUAUUCCUUAAUUUAUUCUAUUUAGGAAAAAAAAUUGAAUUUUGUUUGAAAGUCCAAACAUGUUUUAUCAUAACGCAUUCAAUAAUACCAAUGACUUUGGCUUUUUUUAAUAUAAUUUUCUUUUCUUUUCUUAUUUUUAAAUUUAGAUUUAACUUGUAGAUGCAUUUGACUUGUGAGAAAUUAUAUAUAUAUAUAUAUAUAUAUAUAUAAUAAAUCCUAUGAUAUGAUCCCUCUUUAGAAUGCAAAAGAUCUUUUGAAGAAAAAGACUAGUAACUUAUUUUUGCUUUAAAAAAGAAAAAUGUAAUCAUGAAGAAUUUAUAUUAACUCCAAAUUGUGCAAUUCAUGUACACAAAACUAAUUGAUUGUGUAUACAACUAAUCAAUUUCAAACAAAAAAGAUAUCACAUCUCAUUAAUAAUGUUGGUUUUUAUUAUAUUCCAUGUAAGUUGUUUAAUUAUAUAUCCCCUAAAUACCUAGUCAUUAGAUGUGUAUUAUUUGAAAUGUAUUAUUUUAGUUUUUCCAAUGUUGUUAAUGUUUUACAUGGCAAGUAUGAGAAUUGGUAUGUGACACAUUCAAGAUUAGGGUGUAAUCCCAUUAUGGACUUAGGUUUGUGUUACGAGAGGGUUUAGGAUCUCACAAUGAUUUUGUGAAAGUAUAUGGUUUGUGGCAUAUGCAAAUGGGAGUUGUGGGUGUGUGGAUUAGUGGCGGCAGAGAUGGUGCAACGUGUUUGGAUAGAUGUUGUGGUGGAUUGUUUGCAUGGAUCUUAUGAAGAUAGUUUGUGGCAAUUGAUGAGCAAUGUAUGAAAUUAAGAAGCUCCAAUAACAAGAUGUUUUGGAUGGACAAGACAAUGGUGUUCAAGUUGUGUUGAAUAUGAAGUUACUUCGGAAGAAACUUGUGAUACAAUUCAAAAGAUUACAUUACCAUCUAAUUAAAGAGAUAGAGUACAAAGAAAUAAGAAACUAUGAGUAUGACAUAAAAUGUUGUAGCCAGAGACUACAAAAGAUAUCAUGUGCUAGAGAUAGUCAGGAUCAUAUCCAUGUCUAAUUACUUCCACAAAGUUCAAAUCCAUAAGUAGAAAGGAGUACUUCCAACUACCAAAAUGAACCUUCUUUAUUAUUCAUAUCCUCUAACUAAUGCUCAAACUAAAUCAUUCAGCAUAGAGUUCUUAUCAUUUCUUAUAAAGAACUAAAAUUUCUAUUACAAUAGAACUAUAGUGCCUCAUUUGCUACAAAUCAAGUCAAUCUCAUUCACUCAACCAAUUAAACUAGUUCCAUAGUCCAAGAAACAAAGAAAUUGUGACAUGUAAGAACAAAAUCCUAUUAGUAAACUCAUGCCAUGUGCCAAAUGUGUUCAAAAUCAAUUUUGGUUAUAUUAAUGAAGUUCUUUGUAGUAGUGGUUAUAUAUUGAAUUAAUUGGUAUACAAAUAAAAACAUAUUGAGUGAAUAUUAUGAUUUUUUUUGGAAUUAGUGGACAAAUUAAAUUACUUACCGUUAUAAUUAUAAUAAUACUAUUAUUGCUAAAAAUAUUGAGUUGUGAAAUGAUCACAAGUAUUUUAAGAUUGCUUAAUGUUGCAAAAAUCAAGAAAAUUAAUGGUGUUUUUGUAAAUUGUAGAUAUUGCAAAUGUAUCAUAUAUCAUUUAGCAUUAAAAUCUAUAACAAAAGAAAAAAAAUCAUUAAAAAUAAUAAUUAUAUCAAUCCAAUUAUCUAAUUCUUUGCACCCAUUUAUAGCAAGUUGUUAAAUUAUGGUUAGAUAAUGGAUAUCAAAGGAUUAUCAGUUACAAUUGUAUUAAUGAUAAUUUGAAUAAGUAAAGAUAUAAAUCUUUUUAUAUUUACUAGCUAAUAUAUUUAAUAAUAUAAAAUACUGUUUUAUUAUAUUUUAAAUUUAAAAAACUAUUCAGUUGUAUUUGUAUUUUUUGAUGUUAAUAUAUAUAUAUAUAUAUAUAUAUAUAUAUAUAUUUCUAGGGCUGAUACUUUUAUUUUUUAUUAUCUAUUUUAUUAUACAUUAAAAUGAAAAAAUUUAGCUUUUUAAAAAUACUUUGAAUUUCUUUCAAUUUUAAAUGCUUCAAAUUCUACUUGUGACUUGCAUUCAUCAUUUUGAAACAAGUAAUAAUCAGUUCACAAUAAUUAUGUUACUUAAUUUAAUUAUGAUUUAUACAUUGUACUAUAAAAUAGAAAGAAAGAAAAAAAAUCAAAAUUAUUUAAAUGUAAAUUAAUAAUUUUAUAGAAUUUUUUACUAAAAUAAUUUUAAAAUGGCUAAAAUAAAUACUUGGAUAAAUUUAUAAAUUUAAUUCAAUACUUAUUGGGUAAUGAUUUAGUUUUCUUUCAUUUGUUUAGAAUAUAUGAAAAUAUAUUUGCCAAUAAUUCAUCAUGUUUACAUCAAUAAAUCAUAAAUAAUUGAGUAUAUAUAUAUAUAUAUAUAUAUAUAUAUAUAAUUUUAAAAAUUCAAAUAUAAGACCUUUUUAAUUUUGAUAAAUUAAAAAUAAAAUAUAUUAGUAUCUUUGCCAUGAAUUACAAAUGAUUCUAUUGUUAUGUAUAUAUUCUCUUUCUUUUCUUUUCUUUUUAUAGUUUUUAUAGUUUAGUUUAGUUUAGUUUUUUUUUUUUAAUCAACAAUUCUUUAUGAGUGGUCAAAUUUUGAUUUAGCAACUAUAAAUUAUACUUUUACAGCUUUUUUGUAGCCAAGGGCACAGAUUUCCAGUAUAUAUAUAUAUAUAUAUAUAUAAUGAAAAUAUAUGUUUUUAUUAUUACUACUAUUUGACUAGUUGAUACAAGUGGUUAUAUAACCAUUUGAGAAGCUAUUAAUACUUGGCAUAUUUAUUCUUAAUAAUAUCAUAUUAUAUUAUUUAAUAAAAAUAUAAAUAUUAUUUUCUUGAUUUUAUGAAAAAAUAUUUGGUUUUCAAAUGUUCACAUUUUGAUGCACUAUGAGCUAAUAAUUAUAAAGUAAAUAUUCUUAUUUUAUGUAUUGUGCUCAUAAUUUGAUCAAAAAUUUGCAUUCAUUCCUAAUUCUAUUAAAUGAUCAAAUACUUAAUGAAUUACUUGAUACAAAAAUAGUACUAAAUAUCAUGUGAGAAAAAAGAGAUUAUUGUGUGUUUAUCAAUACUUCUACACCAUGCUAAGUAUACAAGUGUUUAUCAAAACACAUGCAAUAUCAAUUAUAAAGAAAGAAAAUAAUACAAAUACACAACUUGGAUUUACAUAUGUGUGUAUGUAUGUGUGUGUAUAUAUAUAUAUAUAUAUAUAUAUAUAUAAUGGAAUGUUAAAUAGACCCAAGUUUUUAUUAAAUCAACCUAUCCAUGAUGAAUGUGGUUGGUUUUUAUUGGUUUUUUUAUCUAGUGGUGAAAUUAAUCUAGAGGUCAUUUGUUUUCAUGAUAGUUAGGACAGAUGGAUCAUUUUGGUAAAAGCGUGGGUCUAUUUAACAUUCUCCUAUAUUUAUGCCUACCCAAUUUAUUCCAUAACAUUUAUGCACAACCUAUUUAAUCCAAUGAUAAGAAAAUUCAGAAUAGAAUCGAGAAAGUAAAAGUGACAAAACAUUAAGCACGUGGUAAGAACUCAAAAAGUAAAAGUGGACCAAAAACAUUAAUCGCAUAUCGAGGGGACAUGACAGCUGACACGUGGCGGUGCGGUUUCGCGGGGUGCCUAACUGGGCAGGUGUCGUCCCGACCGCGCGGUUCGCACCGUUUGGAUCGCCGAUCUUGUGGUAGUUAAGCGCGGUUGGCAAUAAAAGGGAUGCCCGUGUGGAAGGGCCUCUACAAGAGGAGUGUUUGUGCAGCGAAAGGAUCCUCCUCCUCCUUCAGCCUCUCGCAGGUUGGAAUUCAGCUGUCCAGGCCCUCGUCCUUCACUUCUCCUCCUCCGCACCCUCUCGCCACCAUCACCGGGUAUGCAUGCUCUUGUUCUACUACUCUUGGGUCUCUUUUCAUCCUUCUUUCCAACACACCCCAAUUCACAGUGUUCUGUUAUUUUGAUCUAGCACCCGGUCAACCACUGGUAGAAGGCUUUUUGGUGAUUCGUGGUGUGAAGGGGGUGCUUGAUGGCUAAUUUCCGUUUCGGAUCCUUCGUUUAGUUUGCAAGGAUUAGCAUCAGAAAUGUUUUGGUACUGAGUUCUAGGGUUUUGAUCUAAUUGCUUAUUGUGUUUUGACUCGUAGUAAGUGACUUGGUGUUUCGAGCUUUUCCUUAAUUUUAAGAAUCUGUGUUCUAAGAGUGACAACCGCUACGAGAAGCGUGUGAUUUAUACCUUAAACUCGAAGAGUUUUUGCAGGUAAUCGAAGAUGGGUAAGGAGAAGGUUCACAUCAACAUUGUGGUCAUCGGCCAUGUCGACUCCGGCAAGUCUACGACCACAGGCCACCUGAUCUACAAGCUGGGAGGGAUCGACAAGCGUGUGAUCGAGCGCUUUGAGAAGGAGGCGGCUGAGAUGAACAAGCGUUCGUUCAAGUACGCGUGGGUGCUGGACAAGCUGAAGGCUGAGCGCGAGCGUGGUAUCACGAUCGAUAUUGCGCUGUGGAAGUUCGAGACCGUGAAGUACUACUGCACUGUGAUCGACGCUCCCGGACAUCGCGAUUUCAUCAAGAACAUGAUUACGGGAACGUCGCAGGCGGACUGCGCAGUGCUGAUCAUCGACUCCACCACCGGAGGAUUCGAGGCUGGUAUCUCCAAGGAUGGGCAGACCCGUGAGCACGCACUGUUGGCUUUCACCUUGGGAGUGAAGCAGAUGAUCUGCUGCUGUAACAAGGUGGGGGGAGUUUGAGAUUGUGUGGAGGCACGUGAUAUGUUGAUGUUUCUUUUUUAUGCAGCGUAAGGGUGUUAGAAAUCGAUUGAGGGAUUGAACAUGUGUUUGGGUGACGAGCGAUGUGGGGUGGAGUGGUUCGGUGGAAUGACAGCCUUGGUGGUGGCAGAUGGACGCGACGACGCCGAAGUAUAGCAAGGCUCGAUUCGAUGAGAUCAGCAAGGAGGUGUCGACGUACCUCAAGAAGGUGGGGUACAACCCGGACAAGAUUCCGUUCGUGCCCAUUUCAGGGUUCGAGGGUGACAACAUGAUCGAGCGAUCGACGAACUUGGAAUGGUACAAGGGUCCGACGCUUCUGGAGGCCCUGGACAACGUGUCAGAGCCGAAGAGGCCAUCUGACAAGCCCCUGCGGUUGCCCCUCCAGGAUGUCUACAAGAUCGGAGGUAUUGGAACUGUGCCAGUGGGACGUGUGGAGACUGGAAUCAUCAAGCCGGGUAUGUUAGUUACCUUCGCACCCACUGGACUGACGACUGAGGUGAAGUCGGUGGAGAUGCACCACGAGUCGUUGUUGGAGGCGCACCCCGGAGACAACGUCGGGUUCAAUGUGAAGAACGUGGCUGUGAAGGACCUGAAGAGAGGAUACGUGGCUUCGGACUCGAAGAACGAUCCUGCAAAGGAGGCCGCCAACUUCACUGCCCAGGUUAUCAUCAUGAACCACCCGGGACAGAUCGGAAACGGUUACGCGCCGGUGCUGGACUGUCACACUUCUCACAUUGCCGUGAAGUUUGCCGAGAUCUUGACGAAGGUGGACAGGCGAUCGGGUAAGGAGCUGGAGAAGGAGCCCAAGUUUUUGAAGAACGGAGACGCAGGAUUCGUGAAGAUGGUACCGACAAAGGCAAUGACUGUGGAGACUUUUGCACAGUACCCACCAUUGGGACGCUUCGCGGUUAGGGACAUGAGGCAGACGGUGGCUGUGGGUGUUAUCAAGGCGGUAGAGAAGAAAGAACCGUCUGGAGCGAAGGUUACUAAGGCCGCUGCCAAGAAGAAGUGAAUAUUGCUGGAGACGAGCGGGGUGAAGCAGUUAGGGGCUGACCGGGUCAGGGUUGGGUUUGGUGUUGCGGCAUUGUUUUGGAGGGUGCGGUUAUUGUUUUGCCUGUGUGCUUGUUCAAUAUACUUGCUGCAGGCGAGGGAGAAGCAGAGGCAGACUUGGGUACUGGACAGAAGAUGGCAGGGCUCGUCGGAUCCGCGACAGUGAAUGUUAUAUUUAUACGUGAAUAAAGUACUUUAUGUGGCCUCGACAUUGGGGUGGACAUAAAGCUAGUGAUGGUGUCUUUGGAAAGGACGUUGUGCUGGUGGUAUGGUUAGUGUUAUAUGUAUGUGAGGGUGCAACGAAGCCAUUACGUCAAGGAGAAAUUUUGAAUUCUCGUCUGAGCUGUUUAAGUGCACUUCACAUGGAUUUGGGAAGGGCAACAAGUUAUUCGGAUUACAUAAUGUGAACUGGAAUUUCUAGUUUUGCACUUUAUAACAAGUGUUACAAAGCAUGUUGAAUUGAUGUGUAUUAGAAUAUCCAUUCUUUGGAUUAUUUUAUAAUUCUUGCUGCAAUGCCUUAACAAUGUGUCAAUAUAGGUGAUGAGUUGAUACCAUUUGUUACCGGAACGUGGCGUCGCUUUGAACAUUCAGAAGAAUUUUGGUUGCUGGUAAUGUGGCUCAGAACCUGCGAGAUAAUAUUUGGAUUUACUUUCCGGUUGAAUGCGUGCAAACAUGUUGCAUAAGUAAUGUUUGUAGUUAUCAUCUUAUGUACGGACCCAUCGUUUUGUGAUAAGUAGCAUAUUAUAUACAAUCUGUCUUGUCAUUUUAUCUGAAGAUGCAACAAUCCUUGUCAAUCUAAAAGCACUCAGCUUAUAUUAAUAUCAAUUUUCAGUUUACAGACAUUGCAUAGAAUGAAAAUUUCAUUUCAAGAGGAGCUCAAUUUCCUCACAUUCUGUUUACUGUUUGAGAUAUGGAGGAUUCAAUGCAAUGGGAAAAGCCCAGCAAUGCAUUAUUCAUCAAUAGUGGCUUAAUUUGUAAGCAGUCUGCUGACACAGAUAUCAACAGUGGAGAAAUUAGAUGUGAACGCAGCUACGUUUUAUAUUUUUUUGUCUUAUGUACAGAUAAGAAUUGAAUCUGCUACUUCGCCCUCAUGACACAUCAUUGGCAUAAGAGAUGUACUAUCAUUCUAAAACCUUUCUCUAGUUAUUACAUUCCACAUCUGGUUAAAUCCCUGCAACUCCUCACUGACAAUCGUUACCUAGAAUAGAAAGGACACAAUUCUGUUGUGUCUCUAUCAGUCACAGGGAUCAGGGUAGUAAUUAUAGGAGGUUGCGACUGAUCCCUGGCACAUUUUAGUAGCCCAAAAUACUCUUUGGGAGUUUCACUAAAGCUUCAACAUCUGCAGGUUCACCUGAAAACUUCCGAGCAAAUAAAAAGCAGGGUGAACUAGGUCGUCCGUUGUAUAUACACGUUUGCAUGGUGUGAUUUAAGUCGUCAGACGAGUCCAUAUAUUGCCCAUCCCUGUUUUCUGUCCUGUUCUGAAUCUUCCGGAACAGCUCGAGGUUUAUAUGCGAGACAUUGUGCUUCAAAGGGGAGUCCCCGUGUUUGGGAUUGGACCAGUCUGCGUAAGUGACUGACCGAUUGGCGAUUCCCUGCACGCGCUCCAAGUGCACAAAUUAAUCAUGCUCCUCAUCUGCCUUGAUGUUAAAAUUAUGAAUCAAGACAUGUAAAUUCCAAAUUUCUUAUUGAACGAAUUACUACACAUUGGUCUACUCCUAUGAAAUUUUUUGUAGAAAAAAUUGAUUGUACACACUAACCCAGAAAGAUUUGCACCAGCGUAGGUCAAAUUCCUUCUGGUGACUUGAGCCUGAUAUAAACCUCCAGGCCAUGUUGAGUUUGCUAAUUUUGAUUGUUUACACAAUGCACACCCAAUUAUAAAUUGACAGUUAUUCAUGUAGAAAGUGAUCAGAAAGAGCCAAGAGAUAGAUCGAGGGCUCCCCACUAAGACAUUGUGGCAAUCAAGCAGUCGCCUUGAAAGCAAAUUCUAAUUCCACGCGGUAUAACCUUUGCGAAGUACCAAACUCGUCACCACAUGCUUCCCAAAGCAAUGUUGCCGCUACGUACGGUAAAUUCCUUCAGUUUAGCAUACGAAUCUAGCAAUCUCUAAGGCGAAAGAGAUAUCAACUGAAAGCAACGUCAUCGCCGACAUAUAAACCUCAUGACAUUCGCAACUGCUGACUCAUCCAGCACUGAAGUUAUGUGCUGGAUUGUACUUAUGAUAUUUAGGGCUAUAUCUGGAAGUGCAAGCUACUACUAGGACAAUUUUGUCACAUGAAGUUCUGAUGCUCAAGUGCAGAACCAUGUUAGGACGAAUCAUGUAAUUCGAGCACCAUAUCUACAAGAACACACCAUUCUCCUGAAAGUAAUUCCAACGUGAAUGCGGCUUCUAUUUACUACGAUCUGUGGCUAUAUCCAGACUUAACCCAAUCCCCACUUACUACACUCUGACAAAUUCAAGUACUUCUCUCAUCACAUCGCGUGGACUCUGUUCCCCUUCUUAUUGCAGACUCGGACUUUCAUUCAUAUUGAUCCUUUAUCAUUAACUGAAAUGAAUUAGACAUGAAGUGGUUGGAAGCAAUUCAGAGACUGUAAAAAAUACAUCAAAUCACAGCAUGAGGCAUUCAGAUUUGUAAUUCCCUCACCUUGGGAUCCAAGAUAUGGAGCAGAGUCUGUACAUACUCCUCAUCAAGGACGCAGUCGUCACGGCAAUCGGCUUUGAAUUUGCGGUAAAAUGUGACAUCACCGACCACCAUUCCGGCAUGGCGGCGGUGCAUGGACACCCAUAGCUCACCCUUGUGAAGCUGCUCCAAUUUGAACAGGGGCUCCGUGUGCCACCGCUUGAACCUACAACAAUUCAAUCAAGGCAAAAACUCAGUUACGUGGAGAGAUCAGUAAAAUCAAACUCCAAUGCAUUCUAAAUGAGAUUCUUUCAAGCUGAGGCUUAUGGAAUGAUCGGAUCAAAGAGAUCAACCUCUUCAGUGGAGAAUAGGAUUCGACGAAGCUCGUGGUGGAGUUCAUGAAAUAGUCGUAAACGUAAGGAAAGCUCCGAACUGGCAUGCACGCCUCAGAGACUAGCAUGAACCACAUAUUAGCUCUGCCUGUGUCCAACAAGGCAAAUGCCAGCAAUCUGCGGACAACGUCUACAAGAGUAAUAUCGAAGCGCUUUACUUCCUUGGUUGAAAUGGAUCUGUUGUGGAAGACGGACGAGUUCGGAAACUGGUUAACCCACCAGCUCGCGUGAGUAUAUAUAGAGUAGGAAUCAUUAUCCGCUCCCGCAAAGAAUCGCUCCCACAGAGGCUCAAGUGGGAUCUCCUUCCGAAGGAUGAAUAGGAAUGCAAUUUUGGGUUUUCCAUCUGGUAGAGGAUUGGUCGCAGCGUCUUGAGCAGCAUGGAGAAGCUCCGAAUCCUCAACCGAUACUUUGAAAUACUUGUCGACAUCUAAAUCAUGAGUGCUGCUUCCUGGUUUCACGUAAUCUUUGCAGGGGAGGUAAGAAUUGGGAAACGUCGAUUCUGGUAACCUAGAAGUGGGGUCAGUCGACACAACCCUGGGGUGAGUACAAUUUUGACAAUCCGCUGAGGCUUGUGGGGAGAGCCGACCGAUAGUGAAUUCGGCGGGAAUGGGACUCGGCUGCGAGUCGAUCAAGAACUUGAAAAACAUGAAGGAGCCUAGUAUUAGGACCACAAUGCCCCCCCGGGUGAGCCACACAUCUUGCUGGGACUUCAGAAACCCCAGACGGCCGGAGUUUGAUGGACUAAGCACGUUUGUCAUCGUCGACGAAUACACUCCUCGUCUCGGGAGGAUCUGGACGGGCAAAAUUUCUCUAGACACUACGCAUCUUACACUUCAUAUGAAGCUAGAAAAAGUUCCUGCAUCGACAAAAACAUAUAAAGAAGUAGGCAGCCUCACAAUUUAUUCUCCUCCCAGAACGGACUCAACUGAGUGAAAUUCCAUGAAGACUCACGAUACAACCCAUUCAUUGUCCGAGCUUCGAAGAAGUAGAAAGGUCCUGGCCCUCGUUUUUUUACGCAGGCGAAGGGCAAAAUUCAGAGAAAGAUAGGAGGGCAACAAGAAUUAGAGGAACGAAGAGGAAAACAUCGCUCGAAAGUAGUACUUCCAGUAGUCAUAUGAUUUCAGAUCGCAUCAGAAAGUGAUCACAAACUGGGUUGAUAGCUUGGCCAGUUGUAAUGCUGACAAUCAAACAGAUUUGAAUUGAAGAGUGUCAGUCACUCCGACUACAUGGACUGCGUUUGCCGCACCCUACCGCUUGUCAACGCAAGCAGUCCUCUACAGCUCAUUUUUGCAAAGCUCAUCCUGGAAACAAUCCAACCACUUGAUAUAACCUACGCUUAAGAGACAGGGAUCCAGAUACCGCGUUACAUCGAAAAAGGGUAGGAAUAUAAAUCUCAUUUACAACAGUGACUAGCACUGAUUGCAGACCAAGGCGACUUCGACCACAAGCCUUUGUCCAGUGCACCAACAAAGUGUCCCGUGACAUGUACAGACUGGACGGGUUCUCACAGGAUGAUACGGAAAACAGCUUCCUCAGCCUCCCUCAGAUGAGCCACCUUCAGAAGUGAAGUGAUUUGCGUAAUCUAGGAAAUGCUCCAUGCUUGAGAGAAAGUUCUCAUUAUGAUCCCAGAAAGAAUUUCUUUUGAAAAAUUCGUGUGACAAAUGGCGUACUACUCAGUUGACCGUCAAAAGCCACGCAGAUGACUGCCAAAUCAUUACCACACGAAUUGAAAACUCUCAAACGAGCGGUGUUGCAGGCAGUUGCAGAACACCACGGGCUGUGGGCACCCACCAGCUCGAUGAUCACACUGCAUCGACCAGACACUAGCUCUACGGACAAAAGAAAACCCAGACCUCCUGGUGCACCUCGAACGACACAAGCCAAAGUCAGGAUUCUCCCUCAAUAAUUCUUCCUUCCAUUAGCUUUAGAAGGCCACGACCAAGACAGGCAGACACGAGAAGGGCUAUCGUGGCGGUAAUAAAACCAAAAGUGUCUGGUGCCGAAGGAAAAAAACAAAACUCUUUGAGAGUGAUGACGUGAGCUGAUGCAUCUAAACAUUUGCACUCUACAUCUGCGGUCCAAAAAGCAGCAGUCAUUCUUUCCCCGUGUGCAUGGGACGCUGACCUAAAUAUAUAAAAAAUAAAAAACCACGGCUUGCAGGUUAUCGGUCCUUUACGCAUUGUUUGGCUCAUGUCCCACCCGCUUUGUUCUCUCGUCCCCAGCUGCGACGUCAUCAACCUAGUAGUGGACAGACCCUGUGGUGACCCAGUCCCAGCGAUGACCAGCUCAUGGUGAGCGGCCAAGUCAAGGUGAGUGUGCCUAUGUGUGCCUUAAAAAUACGGUGAUUAGAACUGACUUGACUCCUGCCCUCGGCCUCAAACUGCGAGGCACUUGUCACUAGGCAUCCUCAAACUCACCACCAUUGUCCUGUUCUUGUCCUACACACCCACACACUCACUCACUCACACACCCACACACUCACUCACACACCCACACACACACUCACCCCCACAAACACACACAUACACAUAUACACUGGGUGUUGUGGAUGGUCAGCUGUAGACUCACGGAUCCAACUUCAUAGCGAUCUAGGCGCAGCAUUACCUAAGGUGGGUACUCUUCUGCUUCUUCGACGCAAGAUGAGGAUGCAGAUCUGAGCACUGAGGCGGCGAUUGAAACGAGACGUUGUGGAGAAACGCACAACGGCGAAGCUUGUGCUUGCAAAGGCAACAGGGCUGUGGCGGUGGCACCAGGAGCUGCGUGUUUGUGGUCUGCAGACGAAUGUGAUGCUUUCUUACAUGGGUGGUUUUGUAUAGACCUUGUGGUUGAGUGCGUAAAAUAUACUAAACAAAUCAACAACAUGCAAUGUCUCUAUGACUGUGUGUGGAAAUGUAUGUGCAUAUAUAUAUAUAUAUAUAUAUACACACAUGGUGAGUAGAAUUUUUUACCAGUGUUUACUUUUAAUACUUCUAACAAAAGAGUUGGAAGAUUUAUUUUUAUUUUUUUGGAGCAGUUUAGUGCUGCAAUGAUCUUGAUGAAUAUAACCUGAUGCACUGUAAAGUGCAACUGCAGUUUAUGCCACUCAAAUAAGCAAAAAAUAGAAACAGAAAUAAAUAAACAAACAAACAAAAAGGUAUUACGUUUUGUGUAAACUAAUUGAAUGUUUAAGAACAAUAUUAGUUUAAAGCACAGCACUCCAUAAAUAAAUAUCACAUAAAAUUAAUACAGUAAGGAAUAAUAUAAUUAUCUGAAAAAUGUAUAUUUCUUGAUACCCAACAAAAGAAUAGUGUAGAUCAAAUUGUUUUUAGUUUAUUAAACUUUUUAGAACACAUUUUAUGCUAAAUAAGAACAUUUUUAUCUUUGUAUGUAUGUAUGCAUGCAAUAUAUUUUACAUGAGAAAUGUCAAUACUAACGAUUAAUCAAUAAACUUUUAAAAAUUAUUGUUUAAUUAAAGUAGGAUACUUUUGUCAUUUUCAAUGCCCAUUGUUGUUUCAUAAAGCAAAUUGUGGUUGGACAAUCUUCAUCCCUUACAGUGUGAUUUUGUAAAUAAUAUAAGAUGCAUCUCAAAUGCACCACUAAGAUUAGCUAAUAAAUAAAACUAAAAUAUUCUUUUGAUUUUGCAUUACUUUGCUUUGGUUGAAUCAAACAAUUCUCAAUUCCAAUUCUUGGACUUGUUUGCUUGACAUUAUAUGGAUGUUUAUCGCUCAAUUACAAAACCCAAUAUUUUAUUUAUUUUACGUGAAUGGUUCAAAAUGAUUCCACACGGGCUACUGAUUAGCUCUCAAAGAAGCAAAGACUCCUUUUGCAGGACCUGUUGCAUUGUUUACUCUAAUAAAGGUGGUUAAUGAACAAUAUUUUCUACCAAAUUUGUGAAAAAUAAUAAUUGAAAGAGGUUAUUUUAAUAUGUAUAAAUUAUUGGCUUCACCAACCUUCUAAAUAUUUGUUUAAAUCCACAAAAAAAUGAAAUCGUUGUAGGCAUCUAUAAUGAUUUGCAUAUAGAAAUUUGAUGCGAUUGUAGAAUGAGAUGAGAUUCUCUCAAGAGUGAAACCGUAUGGAAAUUGUGAUAGUUUCAGGUUUAAAUAUUUUUAUGAUAUUGUAAGAACACAGGGCGUCGAAAUUGCUUGAAACCAGUCAUGUUCAAACUUAGUAGAGGACAAUGGUAUUAACUCCUUUGAUUCUCCAAUUUAAAGCAUUUGUUUCUGUUAAAAUUUGAAUGCUUCAAAGAUAGAUUUUCAUACACUUUAGGCCUACCAUCCAAAAACAACUAUAAUUCUAAUAAAUAACUAAACACAGAUAAACAGAGAAAUCAAUUUGAAAUCAAAAUCAAAUUUUCUAAACAAAAUUUUAUUUGUGUAAUGAGAAGAUACUAGAAUGAAACAUUUAUGGAGCGUUUAGAAUGGUACGCUGUGAUUCGUUAAUAAAGGAGCAAGUUGAUUCUGUUCAGUAUAUAAAAGUACACUACAGUAAAUAAAUAAACUAUCUCAUUCCCUCUAUAUUUGAUUAUUUAUUUAUAGUUAUGCAUCUGUGCGUAUAUAAAUAUAUAUAUAUAUAUAUAUAUAUAACUAUUCUUUGAGUGGCUUUGAAUCAUUUGAAGAAAAAUUUAGUCUCUGCAUGGUAUACUUUAUAGAUACAUAUAUAUAUAUAUAUAUAUAUAUAUACAUACUUGCAUGGAUGCAUGCAGAAUCUCCUGUAAAUUUGAUUUAAUAAAAAAUUAAAUCUUCAAAUAUCUUGAAUUAAAUUUUGUACGUUGUAUUUUCUCUACGAAUUAAAGUCACUCACAUAUUAUGAUUUUAUAUCCAAUUUUUUAAAUAUUGUGAGUUGUUACCAUAUUAUAUUAAUAUCAAAACCUGCACACAAUUCAAGUCAUCUAUUUUAAAUUUACAUUCACAUUCAAAAUACAGGUUGCACUGUUUCUUUGUAUUGACAUGGUUUUGUAUUAUAUUUCGUUCAUUAUUCUUGGUACCAUAUUUAUUUUCUUAGUCGUCCUUGAAACCGUAACCUUCAAAUAAGUUACUUUAUUUAGUAUUACAUCAUCGAUUUUCGCUUUUAGAUGGGGUUAAGAUCCAAAAGCCCACUUUAAAAGAUCCUGGUAUUAAAAUCUUGUGAAGAUCUGUUUCUUAGUGAAGAAAUUAUCCUGAAAAAAAGAUCUGGUCUUUGAAGUAAUAAAAUGUGAGAAUAGGCAAUCAAGUGGGUGGAAGAUAAACUAUUUUGAUUCAAAAAUCUUUCACAUUCUAUCUCAAUUUUAAGAAGUUUGAUGCUGUAAAUUCUUUUGAAGAUUUUGAGUGAUAAUAUGAAGCAGUCUUUCACAAAGCAUCUUAACUUUUUGUGGAUUACCACCUCCUGAAGUGGAACUAUGUGUGCAAAACUAGUCAUGCUAUGUGAGAGGAAUACAAAUUUCGCCUCAUCUCUUCCAUUUGUUACCUCCUGCUAGAUUUCCUUAAUAAAAAACAAGUUUAAAUAAAGAUAUUUUCGAUAUCAACAAUUUCAAACUUAGAAUACUGCUCUCCUAGACAUAGAGACAACGUAUAUAAACAGUUUUUAUUUACGUUCUUUAAAUAAUAUUCAUUUGUUCUGCUUCCAAAUCCCUCAGAAAGAACCCUCUCCCAUCUUACCAACUUCUUUCCUUAAAUGUUAGGCCACCGUUCAGGCCACUUUUUCGGAGCUCCUUGCGCCAUGAAUUACUCAUACGGCUUGUUGUAAAAUUGUGAAACAACUAGUUCUAGAUAGUUCUGGGUAAGUGGUCACAGUUUUGCAAUUGUACCCUAUUCUACUUAAGCCCCAGAACCUGUGCAACGGUAACAGAUUUGACAUGUCUCCUCAGAAUUAGUCUGUUUUGAAGCAUCCAAUAACUGUUAACGUAUGAUCAUAGUAGCCUUCCAAUCAAACAACACCUUUGCAAACGUUACCAAUCACACCUUCCCAUUCAGGUUUCAUAUGAUAUUUACAGGAUUCACCACGGGUAUUCAACCCACCAUUUCACAUCUAGAGCCUACAACUUUCAUUGCUAGAACGUUUUGUCUGAAUUUUAAUCCAAUUUGAAGACAUGCCGCAAAAAUACCCAAAAGUUCCACCUUCGUUGUGGGGUAUCGACAUGCCCUUAGUGGUCACGUAUCUUACAUUGACCAAACCUUUGCAUUCCCCACUUCCACAAACAGGGUACACAGAACAGUCCGAUGACUAAAAGUAGGAAAAAUAUAAGAUAGUUAACCCAUCCAUUCACAGAUCCUAAGAUUUUAAAUUCACAAGUACUACAUACACUAUCAUGGCCUACCAAUAGGCGUAACAUGCGAAGGUUACCACUGUAAACGAAAGAGGAGCCACUUCAGAAAACCUUUUAAUCAGUCACCACCGACUCUGGAUGCUAAUUAUUGCUCGAGGCAAAAAUUCAGUACACAAGAACUCAUCACACAGAACAUACAGCCUGCAAACUGAAACUCAUCCGCAAGUGUGACGGCCAUGAGGUAAGUCACUGAGAAUAUAGGGAAACACAACACACGCACACACACAUGAACACAAACAUGGGUGGCAAUUUCAUGGACUCUGUUCAGGUAAAAUAUCCAUAGCGUAAUCAGCCGUUUAAAAGAGCUCCUCAAAGCAUUGGUUGCCUCAGUACAAAUCACCUAUUUCUUAACUCCACUGCGCCACAGCAGAAAAUAUGAGCGCUCCGCGUUCCCAUUUAGCGGUACUGGAACACGGAACACAGUCGGGCAACAUCAACGCAUUGAAAUCAAAUAAUUAAAACGCCAAAAGAGUGCACGAUCUCACCGAAAAAUCGUUGUGUUCUGCAAACCCGCGAUAGAAAAUAACUCGUUCAAGAAAAACUGAACAAAAAGUAAUACCUUCACGAAUCCAAUGUCCUUGGAGUAGAUACGGAAGCACUGACGGCAAGUGUUGAUGCCGUACUUGCGAAUCAUUCCGCAUGAGUUCCCGCACACCCGGCUGCACACACAAAGGAAUCCCGCAAACUGUAUGAGUUUUCGCAGCAUGAUGUAAUUCACACUGCUAUCGACUCCAUCAGACAGUGCCCAAAGCGCGGACUUCUGACCGAUGAACGGGAUCAUUACAACGAGGAAAAAACAACUCAGUCACUCUCAAUAGUGUAUUUCUUUACAACCCACAAAUGGUUAUCGAGUCCAGUUGUAAAAUACCGAGCGAGAAUAUAAAAAGGUAUUGCACUUGGGCUUCACUACUUAGAAUGUCAUCAUGUAACCGGAUGCUCUCAAGGCAAUCAGAUACCACUGCACCAUGUAGGAGAGGCCAAAAAAGCAAUGCUACUUGGGCAACUAACCCUACAGUCUCAACCUAGAAUCCACCACAUCAUCAUCUUCACACAGUACUUUAGACGAGAGGCUGCGUACAUACAGGAAAUCGCCACACUAUACUGAGAUUAAUUAGCAACAGACUGCACUCGAACUCGCAGUUCAUACACGAAACCUAAACAAAAACAAGAAACAUCAUGCAACAACCAUCAACAACAGGGUUUCAACAUCUACAGCGCGACGGCAGACCACCUGCCUAUCACUAGAACAUAAUAGUCUUGAUGAAUCCUGCACUAAUCGAAUCCAACUGGACUUUACAAAAUCUUCACAAGCGCGACUAAACAUUGCAGGUAGCCCAUGAGGGCCGGCGGGCGCUGGAACGCAUCUAGACCAGUCUAAGGAUAAGAACGUCAAUCGUAUAAACAGCUGCGACUGCAAGCCCAGCUGAGGAGGUUGCACUGCGCCGUCAGCACUAACAUCGAAGCCGAUUACAAAAAACCGAAACCCUAAUUACCCGACCCCAGAAUCACGAAGCGCGGAUCUUAUUCAAAGCAGGCAUGCAGGACACCAAAGGGAAAACGAAAGAAGGACUGAAACCGUUACCAGGUGCGGGAGCCAGGGCCGUAGCCCUUAGGGUGCGAGUUCCACACCGCCUCGUGACCCAUGCUGGCAGAUGAUGCAAGCAGCGACAACAACAGAUGCGACGAAGCACAAGAGGCGAGGGCGAGGGCGACUAAGGCGCAAGGGGAGAGCGAGAGUGGGAGAGGAGGACCGAUGGUGCGUGCUCCUCGUUAUGGCCACCCUGCGAGAGUUAUGGCCAGCCUUGGAAUUAGGGCUAGGGUUACGAGAUGGACCAGUCCACUCUGGCGGUCCACUCUGGCGGUCCACUCUGGCAGUCCAAGCUGUCCGACGUUACAUGCCCUGCUGGCAUCUGCGAAUACGUCACCAUUUCGGGUUACUGCAAUGUAUGUGUGUACACAACGAUGAAGAAACAAACCAAAUAUAAUCAUUAAAAAGCAGUAAAUGUGAGCAAAGGUGUAUAUAUUGGAAAAGUCGAGUUGCAUUUGUUGUUUUGAUUUUUAUGUUUAAUACACAUAUGGUGCUCAUAGUUACAUUUUAAUAUAUAUAUAUAUAUAUAUAUAUAUAUAUAAUAAAAAAUUAAGUAUACAUCCAAAAAAAUCUAUGAAAAUAUAUAAUUUUGUAUAUUAUUUCACUUUUAACUACUAUAAAAAUAAUAAUGAAACAUUCUAUAUUGAAAUGGGUUUAAAAUAGUACUUCUUAUUCGCCAAUAUUGGUGAGUAUUCCAAGAAAGUUAUUUAUUGAAAGACAAUAUAUUACUAGCGGAUAAUAAUAAAAAUAAUCAACUCUUAAAAUGUAAUUAUAUAUAUAUAUAUAUAUAUAUAUAUAUAUAUAUAGAGAGAGAGAGAGAGAGAGAGAGAGAGAGAGAGAAAAAAAAAAAACUUCUUACUCUUCAAAAUAUCUAUUUUUGUAAUUCUAGUUAGUUCUCAAUUUUUUCUUCAAAUACAAUAUAAUAAGUAUUGAAUAUAGUAUUUUUACUUGAGUAGCUUGCAAAUACAUAAUUAAGAACAAUCUCAAUAAUCUAUCAAGUACAAUAAUUAAUUUGUCUAAACAAUUUAGUACUUAUAAAAACUCAACUAUCAUGAACAAAAACCAAAUUCUUAUACAUAUCUCAAUAUUUUAUUUCAAGUGAUUGCACAUCUUACUAAAAAUAUGGUCUAAAAUGCUAUUUAUGAUAAUGACCAUAAUACGUUUUAUUGGAUUAAUAUGCCAAAACAAAGAAUCUAUCAUCUAUCCAAGAAGUUAUUUGUAAAAAACCAACGUUUUAUUUGGUACAAGUUAAAAUAAAAACCGUUAUUUUACUUUUUAAUAGAAUAAAAUUAAAGACAUCAAUUUUAAAUAUUUUGCAACUGUCAUACAAGAAAUUCAUUGAUAUUUAUAUUGUAAUAAGGAGAUAUUGUUAUCAACUAAAAGUUCACCAAAAUUUGCUAAAUAUUAGUAUAUUGUUUAAGAAUAUAAGAUAACUAGUCAUAUCAAUAAAUAUUUUAUUAAAACUAUGAUUUUUUUUUACAAGAUUAAAAAUGACUAAAAAUAACUUGAAGGAAGAAAAAAGAAACACACUCUUCUAAUCCUAUCUUAAUAUGUAAAUUUUUAAAAUUUUGAUUUAGAACUUCAUACUUCCAAAUUGAAUUCGAAAAUUUAAUCAAUAGGAAAUAAAUUCAAAACCUCACCUUUUCACACAUUGGUUACACAUCAAGAUUUGGAGAGCCUGAAGUUCUAAACCCUUCAGCUGCUGUAGUUCUAUCUUGUUCUCUCAACCUCGUAUUUGGAAAAAUAUGGCAGCUCUCCUAGUGUUCGAUGAAUGUUGCAUAGUUUUCAAAAAUAUUCCGUCUAAUCCUCAAAGGUGCUGCAUCCAACAUAUAUCAGCUUUUGAAGUUUUAAUUCAAAAUUCUCAACACAAUAAGUUCUAGUACAGGUUAUCCAAGGAAAAGUGUUAACUUUCCUUCACCACCUAGUGCUUGCAGUUAACAAGGGAAGUUUUGAAAGAAUUCUUCCUACUUCUUCCUUAAAAUUCUGCACAAAAAGACACCCCUCAUUCUGAUAAUCCCCUGAUAGAUUAUGACCAGAUGAGUCGCUCGAAAAUACAGAGCUUGAUUCGCAAUUCAACCUUAAAUAUUUAAGUCCAUAUAAGUUCUUUGCUUUAAUUGGGUAACUCAUGUAUUGUCGAGAUAGUGGGUGACCCUGCCAGUGCUGCGAGGAGGUCCGAAACAAUUUUAGGUGAUUCUUGGCAGUGCAGGUGACAUGAGACUCGUACGGAAUACAACACGAUUCCUAAGUAGUGUUACAAAUCAUUGCCCCAAGGAUACAGGUCGCCAGGAGGACCCUCGGUCCAGUUUAGGAACGAUUGGCCUGGUUGUAAGUAAAUACUAGGAUCGUGAGGCAACUUUCGAGCCAGUCCGUUCAGGAUCUGGUGGAAUGCAUCGCCAGGUUUUGCAGGUCGAGGGAAAAGCAUGGCUUGCUUCAUGGCUGGGUUAGCCAGUAGUCUCUGCUUCUCAAGCACCUCCUCAUGAUUAAUAGUACACAAUAUUUUGUCCAGUAUAGGAACAUCUUUCUCUUCCACAAACACCCCAAUCUUCUCCCAUGGUAUGGCAUCAGCGAAAGGAAGCACUAUGUCGUCUGCAAUAAUGACAGGAAUGCAACCAAAAAUCACCCCUUCAACAAGCCGGGGACUCCAGGGAGCCCAACCAAGUGGACACAAGCAAAAAAUUGCGCGUUGCAUGUCUUCAUAGUAAGUUGCUGGAUGCUCUGUCGAGAUGUCGAACAAUGGGUUAUCUUUGAAAUUUUCCCAGAUAGCUGCUCUUGCGCCUCUGCAAAGAAUCAUCCAAUGAAGAACUCAGUAUGUCUAACAAACCAAGAGGAAGCAAAAGAAUAAAUACACAAAAGAUGAAUAAAAACUAGCUUGCAUGCAUGUCGGGAGAGAGUAGACUGAUACUUCAGUAACCACAUUGAAAGUUUUGGUCAUGUCUCUUUAGCACACAUGAACACAACCCAAGAAAACCUUCUUUUAGAUUAUAGAACGAAAAAGCAUACUAAUAAAUAAAUAAACAAAUAAUACUACAUAUAAAAAUAGUAAGUAGUCGUAAAAACCUUACCGAGCAUAAUAACCACCUUCAGGAUCGUUGCCAGGGUCAUAAAAUAAACCUCUGAAAUAUGCAAAAAUAGAGCGUGGGGUGCUUGGCGGAUUCAGCCGGGUUUGCAUCCUUUCAGGUGGAGCAUACGGAGGGAUAACAAUUGAAUCUUCCUUGAGACAAACGUGAUGAUUCUGGCCAAACGUUUGAAUUAACGUUGCUCGCUUCAACAGUGGGAGAAUACCCCUCUCAAUGGCCUUUUCUUCCUGUAUCAGAAAAAAUGCGCAAGUUUAUUGUAAUAUAAAAAUGGUUUAAAAGUAAGCCUCAUUCUGUUACUUCCGAUUGUCACUAGAAAGAAGGAAAUAGAUGUUUUCACGAGUCAGUGGAAGCACAUCCCUCUUUGAUCAUCUGUGCCUUCUAGGAUUCGUGCAUAAUCCUACGGGUGCAGGACGUUAACUGUAAUCACAACGAAGGCACAAAAAGACAAAAUUGCGUAUGAAAGUGAAAUUUCUGAAUACCUGGUAAUGAAAGCAAGCAGCGAAAUCAUGUGGUACAACAAAAAAAUGGUCUGCUCCAUCUGUCCUGUUCCAGUACGGCCAGUGGCUAGAAAUGUAGCUGAUAGCACUUCUCAUAACGCGGGGUGACUUGAAAGGCAAAGGAAGCCCAUUUGGAGUCAAAUCACAUGUUGUGUACACAGGAGUGUAAAACCAGUCGGCCUCUUCAGGAUUCAACGUCCGGACAGGGCUUUCCGUCAAAAAGUCGUGAAGAUACUCCUCCACAGCGAACAUGUGUGUAAGACAGCGAGGGUCCUUUUUCAACCAAUCAGUGUUAUAUUUACUGUAGGACAACAAAGUUCAACCAUCGCUAGGUUAGAUACACUCCAGUAUUCUAUAUCUUAUGAAGCAACCCUCCCAAAGACAUCGUGUCAUAUCAAACAGUAAAAAGAGCGUCACAGUAACGUAAAAACCUUAAUAGAAUUCAGAAUACCAGAGCGAAAAGAAUUGGAUAUGAUUUCAUCUCUUAGAUGGUGCUCGUAAGCUUCAAAAAAAAUAAAUACCUCGGAAUGUCAUAGAUAAAAACUUUCAGACGGCCAACAGGGUUGUCCUCCAGCACAUCACCCGCACUUCCUGCAAAGAAUUUACCAGGUGUCCUUGUCAUCUAAGUGGAUGGUAUAACUUUCAUGUAGGACUUUCAUACAGAAAUAAAAUGAAAUAUGCCUUAUUAAGAGUUGUUCAUCACUGAAAAAUCAGGAUAACUAUGUUGCACACACAACCUUGCAACAGCUGAAAUGGCAUCUUUCAUUUAGUAGAAGCAAUAUUCAGCUGUCUUCAAGAUAAUAAGUUCCUAGGGAAAUUGAGCAUAAGUGGGUUCGCCUGGCGAUUGAGUUUCACAGCCUAAUUUCUUUCUACUGAACAGGAUAAGCUGCAUGUACUAUCUCUCUAUACUCGCACUUUGAACUAAUUUUGAGCGAUUUCUCAAGUUGGAGCUUGAUAACUGUGGGUUACCAAAGAAUUCCAAAUUGCUUAAUCAACCAGUUCUUAUAAAAUGCACCAUAUAAUCUGCACAAACUCUGGAAACCCGGGUCACCAGAUGAUAAAUUCUAUUUCCCCAAGCCAGCUUGCCAGGCUCCUUGCGCAACGAUCAAUAUUCACAACAUUCCCGAACAUAAGAAACCCUAAGCCAUGCAAAUGCGGUACCUGAAAUUCGUUGAUGACCCAUUUCCGCAGUGACAUCUUGAACAAAAUAGAUGAAUAGCAGCAGUAACACGACAGACCUUAAGCCAGAAGCCACAACAGUGCGCUUCAUUAACCCCCACCCUCUACAUUUCUUAUUACAGAACCAACUCAUAGCUAAACUACAAGAAUCUGCGCACUCCAAAGGGUGCUCCAUUGGCUGCCCUCCUUGUUCAGUGCCACCCCAUCAUGCCCUCCUACGAAACACCCAAUUCUCCCAUCCCUAAGAGAAGCUCCAAACCUUCCCGAAAACGCUACAAACCCUCUCUUCCGAUCCCCCAAAUGCUAGCUGCUAAAAAAAUAAAUAAUCCGUGCAGCUUAAACCAUCCGAACCCAUCCCAUCAAAUACCAUUCGCGUGUAGCUCGAUCGUGCAUCAACGCAUCACCGAAGUUUCCAAUGCUCCAAUACACGCACGCACACGCACAAGGUUGUCGUGAAUGCUACCGCUUGAGGCCAAGUCUGUCCCACUAGGACUCAAACCUCGGCUCCUCGGUGAUGAUCAGUGGGACAUCACGGCACCCACAGCUUCCUUCCAGCAAGCACGCAGCUGGCAAAGGGCUUGUAGCGUGAAGCUGGGCAUCAUGCUUCUAUGUCCAACAAGCGAUUGCACCCCGACUACUAAAUUUGUUUGGCAUGAUUCUCCUGACCAACUCGUGCUGCUUCUUCUCCGACGCCUUGACUCGGCCCAAGGGACCAGGACGCUGCGAGACCGUCAAUAAUAUCCAAGUUCGUUGAUUUCAAGUCAAGGUUUACAGAUAUUAGAGUGAAGUCUUCUCUUCUAAUUCAAGUGUAGAUUUGAAUGCGGAUGCUGACCAGGUGAGAAAUGAGAUCCAGAUCUUGAAACGACGUUCCACGGAUGGUGGCAUGAUCCUAAAUUAAACUAGGUUAGUGUUGAAUUAGUCGUUAAUUUCAUGUUAAGUGAGGUCUGUACCGAUGAGUAGAAGUGUAGGGUUUCAUUUUGUGUUUGAAUUUAGACAGUGGUUUUUGUGUUUGAAGUGAAAUUUUUUUUUUUUUUUUUUUUUUUUUUUGCGUAAUUAAAAUAGCCCGACAUUUUAGACGAGGAAUUUGAUAGCUUUUUUAAUACCAGGAUUAGAUUACAUAAUUUUUCUAAAAUCAGCUUUUUAUCAAAGUUAAAAAGUUACAGUUAAAAACAUUCAAUGCAUUAGAUAUGUUGAUAUCAUGGACAUUCAAACAGACUAAACUAGAUUUGAUAAAGCAAUUUUGGUCACACACACCUAACAACAACAACAACAACAACCACGCAUAUGUAUAUAAAUAUAGGCACAUAUAAUUGAUCACAUGGGUACACAAAAAAUAAUCAAUCAAUGUUAGAAAUAUUAAUAGUGCAUUCGCUUUACAGCUGUGCACUAUUAAUGUGCUUGAAAUUCCAUGCACAAUCAACAACAUGUGGAAUGAAGGAACACGCAUACAUAUACAACAUGUGGAAUGAAUGAACAAUUUUAGGUUUUAAAAAAACCAAUCCUUUUGAAACCCUAAUCCUGUAACAACGCGGAAGCCCUAUCCCUUACGCAGUUUUCAUGUCGAACAGGCUCGUGGUUGCUGGUGAAUUCAUGGCGCCAUGGAUGGGAUUGGCCGAUACGGCGCGAGCUGCAACGCGUCAUGGCAGAGAACCUCAAAGGCGGCUCUGGAAAUCAGAUGAUAUCGGUGGCGGCAGAUUAUAGCAGGUCUCUAAGAUUGACUUGAGCUCGAACAAGCGCUGGAUUCGGUGUGUAGGUUUUUGUUCGUCCGCAAGCUCGUUGGACUGAUACCGCCCCGAUUCGUCCAGCAAGCACGUCAUGGCGUCCGCGCGAUUCCCACAGACGAUGUCAUCAGCUGCACUGUCGCCCACCAUCAUCACCUCGUGGGGGUGCAGGCCCCAUUUGUCGCAGAUGUGCAGCAAUGGCGCGGGAUGAGGCUUGCAAGGGGUGAACUCACGGCCCAAAGCGGGAUGGAACUUGGGCAAUCCGAAUCGUGAGUGGAAGAAUUCGAUGCCAGUGUUCACAUUGCGGGUGAUGAUGCCGCGACGAAUGCCACGCGCAUCGAGGAAUGAGCACACCUCCUUCGCGCCCGGCAUGAUCUGAAGCUUCUCAUGGGCGUCUUGCUCGAUCUCUGUUAUUAUGGCGUACGCGCGAGCUUGUUUCUCGGAGCUCCAGCUGGAGAUUUCGUGAAGGAUGUCGAUAGGGUUGUUGUUGACGACGUCUGGAUGAUCUCCGCCCAGUAUACGUUUGUACAUGAGUCGGAAGUCGAUGCAAGGCACGGUAAGAGUCCCGUCCAUGUCAAAGAUCAUACCCUUCACCGAUGGCUUUGGGUGGAAAUGCUCCGCUGUCCCCGUCAGUAGCCGUCUUAUGGGUGACAUAGCCCUUCUGAAGCCUCACCACUCCUUUACACGGAAUGGACCAGGGAAGAGCUGAUACGCCAGUAACCCUUCAAGUAGUUUCCUGCAACCCAUAAACAUGAAUGCACCCCCAAGUACCAAAAGAUUAGAUUAUGUACAACACUUCUGCCCGAUUUUCCGUGACCAAUACCCACGUAAGCAACUCUUGAUCUGGACACAGCGUGUGCCGUAGCAAUUUGAUCUGCUUCAGCUGAAAGGAUUUCUUCCCUUGGCACUCUAUUGGUGAACAAUCAACCGAGAGCUAGUAAUUCCAAGAAGUACUAGAUAGUACAAUGUCUAAGACACUAUCAGUACAAUACCGUAAUCGAAUUAUCAAUUUGGAACGAGAGCAACGAUAGUAAGCCGAGAAGGUGUCGAAUUGCGGUUUGAUAGAAAAAUCUUGGUCAGAAGCACUGUUUUUCUAACAUGCCAGAUUCAAAAUAACACUCUCGGCAACGAGAGUGUUCAUCAAGCUGUCAAUAUGCGAAAUUCCACAGUCGUACAAUCACGAAUGGAAGAAAACCCGAAGCACUCGACGUUCGCACUCAAAAACCCAAUCCCUAUAUCCCAAUUCAGAGAGGGAAAACGAUUCCCAAGAUCAGUUAUUCAAAUUCCAAUACAUUCAUUCCAACCAUUGCCCUUAGCAUUGCAAUCCCACCAACUUCUCAGUAAUUCUUUCAUACCUUCAAGGCCCUGAACACUCCCGACAAUUCAAUAUUGGUUGUUGAUAGCAUUGCACGUUUCCAACCUCAAACAAAUGAAGCUCCAGAGAGUAACGGUCUCCACCACUCUGCCUUGAAGCUCCAGGUCAAUUCUCGGCACGCAGAGAGUGUAUAGAAAGAGUUCCAUCUCCACAUACCGCAAGGCCUCGGUGUGACAUACUGUAACACCAAAAGUGGAGAGCGAAUCUGGACCUUCCACAUCGUGAUCAUACUAUCAUUCUCCUUGAAAAAGCAACUCCCAUCAAACGCAAAGCUGUGGAAAUGACAGUGCGUUAGAAAGUGAGAAAGAGAGGAGACAGUCAUCGUCUCAUCCAUCCGCGACCCGUCGAUUUCUACCCCAUAUCUCUCUCUCUGCCUCAUCCGCUUAAAUUCCGUGGUUGCAUGAAGCAAGCAGGGUUAGUUUAUAUUAUUGGUUGUGUGUCAACGUAUGGUCAUCAUGUUGGCUCUCUGAAUGCCAUCUCUCUUGGGUAUUAGAGUCUCGCGCUACAACUCAUCCAGGGUUCCUGCAUGUAGAGAGUUGAGAAAAGAGAGAGAGCUACCUCGCAGACCCACAGAGGCAUUACCUGCUAAGGAGAUUCUGAUAUCCACAACAUGAAGCGAUUGUCAUCAUGUAGGGCUAUUGAAGGGCACCAGACCGAGAGUCUCUUAGUUAGUCUCAAAAGAUUGGACAAUGUGUUGAAAGACACAAAUACACAUUUUUAGUGCAAGUCACGUCUGCUUCUGAUCCAUUAUGUCUAUUCAAGAUAGGCCAAGCACAACCACCUGUGAGCGAUAUCGCUUUGUGACAUAGGUAUAACUUCUUGAUAGGGCAUCGCUUUCAGAGACGGUAUCAAUUCAAGACCACAUCUUGAGAUAGGUAACACCAAUAUAUAUAUAUAUAUAUAUAUAUAUGUAUAGAUAUGUGUUUUUUUAACAAAGUUUAGUAUUGAUAAUGUUGUUUUUCAUUUGCAUGAUAUCAAAGCAAGUAUGAUAAUUCACACCAGAGUUUGCACAUGAGUGAAGAUUUCUCCUAUUUUAAUAGAGAUUCAAGUUUGUUUGUUUUCACCUAAUGUUGAUCAAGUGAAUUAGAUAUAAUAAGCAAGACUCCAUUAUGGACUCUAUUGCCACAAAUUUCACUAAUUGGUGACAAGUCUAGCUUUGAUCAAUAUGCCCUUGGGAGGUUUUCAUUUUUUAUAAGAAAAAAUAAGGAUUUAUAUUUUGGAGUAUUUUGUGCAAUUUGUAGCACAUCUAUACAUAAAAAAUUUAGAGUUAGUACCUUAAGUUAUGUUGAAUGUGUGUUUAAGCUUGAUCAAAUAGUUAAUCAAAGAUUAUUGAAAUUUAAGUGGGAAGGAGACUAGGAAAUUGGAAUUUGGAGGGCUAGUGAAGGUUUCUCAUAUUUGUAACAAUCUGCAAAUUGGCAUUUUUUUUAUUUAUUAUUAUUAUUUUUUUAAUACCAGUAGCAGACUUGAUUUCCAACAAUUAUGCCAAUCUUGAAAGAAAUUGAACAAUAAAAACAAGAGAUGUCAGUGCUAAGAAUAUGCCAUUAAGAUUGGAGGAAGAAGGUGGUUGAUGCCUAAGUAGAUAAUGAAAAUUUUCUUCUAUUCAGUAUGUUUAAUCUUCAUUAAACUAUUUUUUCUUUUUUUUUUUAAUUAAAAAAUUGAAAGAUGCACAAGUUUUUAAUUAAUGACAGCAAUUAAAUUAUUAGUUAUUGAGAUUUUUAUUUUAACAUAGGAUUUAAUUAAGAUUUGAUUAUGAUUACAUAGGAUUUGAUUAUGAUUUUUGGUAGGUAUUUAUUAGAAUUUGGCUAAGAGUAAGCAUUAAGAUUUUGUAAAGAUUUGACUAGGAUUUAAGAUAAGGAUUUGAAAAGGAUUUAAUUAAGAUUCUUUUAGGAUUUAUUUAAAGUUUGAUUAGGAUUCCUUUAGGAUUUCAUACAAAUUUUAUUAAGUGUCUUUUAAGAUUCUUUUAAAAUUUUAUUUGAAUUUGAUUAGGAUUUGAUAAGGAUUCAUUAAGAUUUCAUUAAUGUUUGGUUAUAAGUACUUAGAGUUUGUUAGAAUUUGAUUAAGAUUUGAUUAAAGUUUCUUUAUGGCUUAAUAAAAUUUGAAUAGGAUAUGAUUAAGAUUUAUUUAGAGAUGAUUAGAAUUUAAUAAGAUAUAUCUAGGAUGAUUUCAAAAUUAAUAGGAUAUAUUGAGGAUAAUUAGAAGUUUAUCCAAGAUUGCAAAGGGGUGUUUCUAAAUGCCUUAUACAUAGGUUUUGGUUGUAAAUCAAACUUUAAGGUAAGCUCAUUCUCUUCUACAAUUAGAUGUCUAGUGCAUCAAGUUAGAUUUCACAUAACACAACACUGCCUUUGGUUUAGGUAGUUAAGAAAAAAUACAUAUUUACAAAGGUUAAGUAGCAAAGAUUUUUUUUUAUCACAAUGUAGCUAUAAAUAGCUAUAAUAUUAUUUUGUAGAUAAUACAAGAAUAGCAACAAUUAAUAUUUGGUUAUAUACUUUAUAUCUAUUUUAUUAGUACAUAGAUAGUUCUAAGUCUUAGGUUGUAAAAUGAUUAGAGAAAAGAUUCAUGAAGACCUUUAGGUUUUCAACUCAAUAUGAAGAAGCCUUGGAACUCUGGCUUUGGAAUUGUAAUUGUGGUGCUUGAAGGCUAGUCAGACGAUGAAUUAGAUCGAAAAUGUGUAAUUGAUGAUUAUGGAAGGAUCUUGGCCUCUUACAGAAGCUUCAAAAGGGACAUUUCUUCAGCUAUUAGUACAACGAAAAGAAAUAGAAUUAGUUAAAUGAGGAAGGAUUAUGUGGAGAACAAUUUACUAUUUUGUAUGUUGUUAGAUGGAGCUUGGGACAUAGUUCCAAGGCCAAAUUGAAGAGGUUAAGAUUGAGCAUGGGAAAUACAUGAGAUUGAGCUGUAAAUUAUUACAUAUGAGAUUGAGCAUGAGAAAUUGGGUCUGUUAUAUUAAGAAUGCAUUAAUCAUCAGGCAGGCAUAUAGCCCUGCCAUCUUCGGUCAAGUACCCACGUCUGCCUCGCUCUAGCUUCCAGCAGGUAUAUCGAACAAGCACACAAGCAAAUUAACAACCGUACACUGCAACACGACAUUUCAAUCCCAAAAACAACACCGUUCUGGACACCCUGUAACUGCUCCGCCAAAACCAAAUCCCGCACUAUUCACUUCUUCUUGGCAGCGGCCUUAGUAACCUUCGCACCAGUUGGUUCCUUCUUCUCCACGGCCUUGAUAACACCUACGGCCACC